rnacentral:lncRNA from 1 species
AUAUGUAGAAGACUUAUUGCAGUUAAUUAUGAGUUAUUUAUAAAUUCAUUCUAAUUUUUUUUUUUUAAGAAAAGAGAACAAAAAGCCGAACAACCAAGGUCAACCAUCGCAACUCGCCAAACCACUACCCCUCUCCAUACCUCCGCCGCCAAAAACCCCCUCUUUUCCAAGCGCUAUCUCUCACCUGCACCAGUAUACCAACCCCCCAAAGGGCCAAACCCACUCCCACCCAUCAAACAAAGAAAUCAAUUCCUCUCAACUACAGACUCUGAGACUCAUAGUCUCUGUCUUUCUCUCUCAAAUAAACCUUUCACAGUAGGUAGAUUAUGGAUUAUGGGUGUUUGGGGAGAGUGCAAGAAAGAGAGGUGGAGAGAGAGAGAGAGAGAGAGACAGAUGGAGGUUUUACAGACCGGACGGGAUAGCUCAAGAGAUUGGGUGGAUCGCUGGAGAAAGAAAAGUGGAGAAAAAAAGUGGCUUUUUUUUUCUUUGAAGUUUUCAUUUUUCAAUAUUUUGUGAAGUUGACAAUGUUUUUUUCUUUGUUGGAUAUUUAUUGACGUUGUUUUAGAAAUAAAGUGAGUGAAAAGUAACAUUUUAAUUUUUUUCACUGGGUUAGAUUAUAAUAUGGGUAAAAAAAAAUGACAAUAUACAGGGUCUAGCAGCACUCAAAACCAUUGCAAUUGUACCUAUUAUAUUUAUAGGGAAGAUAUAAUGUAUUUACUUGUUAAAAGAAAGUACCAAUAAAAUUGCCAUAUAUAAUUAUGGUGCAAUUCCUACAUCCUCCCAAAAGUAAAUUGUUUUCAUACGUGUGUACCCCUAAUUUUUUUAAUAAAAAAAUAUACCCGUAUAAUUAGAUACAAAUUUCAAAAGAAUGUAGCCAUUUAGGAAAAAAAAAAAAGGUAUCCAUAAGAGUUCUAGCAAAUAUAAUGGACCCAUGAUUAUUGAUAAAAGAUUGAUAAAUUCAGUCAAACGAAAAAUGAGAUGAAACUAUUCGAACGUAUAAAAAUUCAAAUUUAAAUUUCAAACUAAAAGGAUGUUAGGGAUAUCUAGCUGCAAUAAAAUCCCUUAAAUUAUGUAAAUAAUCAAUUAUCCUAAACAGAAAUGACAUAAAAGGAAAUGAAUAAACAAGUAUAUUUAAAUAAAAAGAAAAGGAAAAUCUGACAUGAGAUUUGAUUAAUUUUAAGAAUUUGAUAUGGACAUAAGUAAAAGGACUUCAAACAAAAAUUUAAAACUAAAAAUGUUUUAAUCAAGAAAUAUUAGUGACUAGGGACCGGACCUAAUUAUCCCCAUUUUUAAUCUCAUGACCCAUUUUAACUCAAAACAAGUUGAUUUAAGCUAGAAAAGAAAAGGCAUAUAUGUAAGAAUUUGGGUAGACACAAUCAUUAUGUUGAUAGAACUGUAUUAAGUAAGUUAAUAGAGUUUUGUAACGCUAAGUUAUACGAAACAUUCAAAACAAUAAUGUUGAGAAUUUAUUGCAAUUAAUUACAAGUUAUUGAGAGACCUAUUGUACUCCUAAUAGGUGGAUAUCCAUGGGCUAAUGUGAUUAUGAAAAGGUUCUAUAAGAUGCAACCUCACCAAAACCUCUUGUUAAUAUCUUUUAUCUUAUGACCCAUUUUUUAGCCCAAAAGCUAGUUGAUUUGAGCUAGAGGAAGAAGAGGCGUACCUCUUUACAUAGCUUUGAAUUUCCAGGCAUCAUUUGUCUCAGUUGAUUUUCAGUAUUAUACUCAUCCAACACGUCAUCGGCUUCAUAGACUGCUUCUUCUACGCUUUGGAGCCACUCUUUGACUUCAUUGUUGGCUUGCUUUUGCUCAGCGUCAAGAAGAACAGCUUGAAAUCCGGCAACUGUCACCUUGAGCUUCUGGAACUCAUCACGGGCACCCCAAAUCAAUCCAAUCUCUUGGGAAGCAAGGGGGCCUAGCCUCUCAAUGAUCCCUCCGGCAACGUUGAAGAGAACUCCUUCCGCCAUUUCUUGGAUUCAGGACAAGAAAAACACAAGUGAAGUGAAGUAGAAGCUUGUAAGUGAGAAAAUGAUUUUGCGUAGUGAAAGAUGGCUCCUCCUGCUAGUCUUUAUAUGCCGACACUUACAUAUAAUUCCAUGUAUAAAAUGAUCAUUCCACUCAAUAAUUGAACUACUUUAGUCUAGUGGCUUAAUAAAGUAUUGAUCGAUUACAAUCAGACAAAUGGGAAAACUCAAUCAUUCAAUUUAGUGAGGGAAAUUUUAUUUAAACACAUAUAACUUUUUUCCACAUUCAACUUAUUCUCUACAUCUAUAUUAAUUUCAAUUAAACUAUCAAUAUCUCCUUAAACUCAAAUAUCUACCUAAACCCAAUUCAAUAUAUAAAUUUAUCUUUACACCCAUUCAAAAAAUAAACCCAAAAUCAGUUGGAGACAGCUCUAUUUUUGAAAUUAUUUUCAUGUCUGAUUCUUAAGUGUGCGAACCUGCUACUCCAAUAUUUCUCAAGAAGAAAGUGCCCAUGCAGGAUGGUGAUCCUUUUCUCUUUUUUCUCGCUAGAGUCGAAAAUAUAGUCACAAUGAUAUACAUUGUUCUCAUUUGUAUAGGACGGAUGAUACUCGUUAUCAUCAAUGUCCCAAUCUUCUUCUGUUUUAAUGCCACGCAAGAACCAUAUUUGCUUAAUGCAUCAAUCAUAUGCUAUCUGUUGAGUUCAUGUUCAUUGGUUUAAACUAUUCUUGAAUAUAUAUCAUAGCAGAACUCAAGGGCUUUAUCAAAGCCGUAUUUGCUAUAUUUCAAGUUGUUAGAAGUAAGAACAAUUUUGCUAAUUAUCACUAUGUUCCGGAUUUGGACUUCACUUUUGGAGAUGAAUCCUUUCGCAUUGGUUGAUGGAUGACACAACUGCUUUCAAGAACUUCAAAAAGUACAUUUCUUCACUCCGGUUGUUUUUACCUUAUAUGUUUUUCUUAUGUAUAUGCCAAGCUAUUCACUAGCGUUUUAGCUUCAGUAUUUUUAUGUUUCAGUUGGUGGCAGUAUUGAAUUCCUAAUGCCUUUUGGAAGAGUUAUGAGUCCUAUAGAGAAAUUUAUUCACGGGUUAACAAAGACCUUCUUUGCACGCAAUAUACUUUUAAACUCUAAAAAAAAUUAAAAAAAAUGUGCAUAAAUCGAUUUAUAUCUUAGUUGAAGGAUUUGGAACUUCAAAAUUAUCAUCCAUUAGUCAAAAUGAACAUAUGAUAAAGAUUGAGUGAUGGUAAAGUUUGAUUAUUGAGUAUGGGUUUAUUGAUAACCUUUAGUUUUAUUAUUAAUUUCUUCUUCUACUUAAUGGUAAUUAUGCAAUAGUAAAAAUGACAAUUAACAAUUAAAAUAUAAGUUAGGUGUAGAGUGAAACUAUGUAGGUUCAAAUAAAAUUUCUCUUAGUCUAAUAAAUUAUUAGCUAGUGCUGUAGUUAAAGCUUGUGUCGUGGGGAGUGGACCCGUAAGAAAACGCAAUUACAACAAUCAUGGUUUUGUUUGUGUCUUCCACUAAUGACGGGAUUUGAUUUCCAGCACAUGUUCUCUCUCCCACACGCUACUAUAUACCCGCCAUUAGACUACACCCCAACACUGCACGUUUCUACCAUUAGCGCAUUUGUAAACCUAGCACUGCACGUUUCUACACCCAACACUUUCAAAUAGAAGCAAUCAGUCCAAUUUUUCACUACUAAUUUAUUCAUCGAUCCUCACAUUUAUUGUGUAAUUAAUAACUAAUAAUUAUAUAUUGUAUUGUUUUUUAUGUUUGAGCAACUGAGAAAAUUAACCUACUCCAACUUCUGAAGCUUUCUUUCAGCUGAGAAGAUUUGAUCUACUCUAAUUUCUAGUUUCAAAAUGAGGGUUGAGAAAAAACAAAUAAUAAUAAUGCUACUCUUUUGCUAAGUGUCUUCAUCUCAUAAGGUGUAAGAUGAAAUGCUAAAAUUGCUUGAUAUAAGCUUGAAUACUGCCAAAACUACGUAACCAUUAGAAGACUACCAGUGAAACAACAUUGUAUACUAAAAGUAAAGGGAUGAUGAGAUAUCAUAAUGUUCAUUUAUGUUGAUAAUAUAAUAUACACUAGGAGCUGCAAAGAAUUAAUGGAUGAAUUUAAAUUAGUUUCCAGAAUCUACAAUAAAAGUGAUGAGAUAUUAGUAUUAUUAUUAUUAUUGUUAUUAUAGAUUGGUUUCUAGAAUUUUAGUUUAUUUAUCAGAUGCUAUGAAAUUAGCCUGAGGCCAUCAUACAAAUGGAAGCAAGUACUCUGAAGGCUCUCCAUUUUUAAUGUCCUUCUCAGAGGACAAAGGCUAAAAAUAAAUGUUUUAAAGUAAAUUUCAAAAAACUCUAAUAAUCUCACACAAUUCGAAUACUUUUUUUUCUCCAUCUCGCAACUUUCUCUUGGAGUCUUGAUUUUCAUGAGUAUAAUCACUGAUUUUGAGUGAACUCCACCUAUUUUUUCACUCUUAAAAAGUUAUUAAAUGAUCAAACUGUGGAAUCAAAUUCUAUUUUUUCACUCCCAUUCCACUUUAGUAAACAUACAAAAUACAAAUAUACCAUUCCGAAGAAAUUUCAAAUUUAAAUUUUGGUUCUCCAAUUAAUUAAACAAAAUUAUAACCAACUUUUUCACAAGUUCUGAACGGUUACAAUCAGACAAUUAAUUUACAGACCAUCUUAUGUGGCCCCACUAACAUGUUAACACCUGUAAUAUAAGAUUAUCACCAAACACCAUCCUAUCUUGCCAACCAAACAUCCUCCACUUCCUUUGAACCUAUAACCAAACAUCAUGCUUCAUCCUUCACCUCCCAAACUGCCAUGCAAGGAAGAAAAUAUCGGUAAUAUCGGAAAUAUCGGUAGUCCGAAAACACGGAAAUAUCGAUGGAAAUAUCGGGAUAAUAUCGAUAUCGAUAAAAAUUACAUGGAAACCACGGAAAUUGUAAGAAAAACUUGGAAAUUUUUAAUGAAACUUUGUAGGAUGUUUAUUUAGUCAAUUAUCUAUUAGUUUAUCACAAAAAAUUGGAAGGAAAUGCAUUGCAUGAUGGAUUUAACUGAUUUAAGUUGAUUAUAUAGCGAGCUGGCAAACAUUGUGAGUGUAGAAAAUAUGUAGUAAUUAAUGAAAGAAGUUUAAACACACCAUAAUCAUUUAUAUAUAAUUAAUUAGUACAAUAUUUGGAGGUUUUAUUUAGGAUAUUAAAAAAAAAAAAAGGGAAGUGAAUAAAAUGAUGAAGAAUAAUGUGCCGAAUUUGACAAUUUAAAUUUCUUACACAUAAGCAUGCGUCUAGGCGUUGAAGUUCCAAAUUAUAGUAUAUCAAUUAACGAUUGAAAAUCAAUACAUUGAAUAAGAUUAAACUUUAAUUUGGAUGCCGAUUAUGUUUUUUCAAACUUGAUAUAAAGUAAAAAGUAUUGAAUUUUUGGAAGCUAGGAGUGUGUCAAUUGAAUUUUGGCUGACGUGCAAGGUAUCAAUCUCUUCGUCUCUUCGAGGGCUACAACUUUCCUUUUUGUUUCACUCAAUUUCGUUGCGUAUUGAAAAAGUUAUACUCAUUUGAAUCUUACCCAGUUUCCGGCGACCUCAGUAGAUUUCGAGGCAAUUUCCGGCCAAACCACAACGAGUCAGACGUCGUGUGAGGUACCAUUCUCUUCGCGUCUCUUCGAGGGCUACAACUUUCCUUUUUUGUUUCACUCAAUUUCGUUGCGUAUUGAAAAAGUUAUACUCUCAUUUGAAUCUUACCCAGUUUCCGACGACCUCAGCGACCUCAGUGACUUUCGAGGAAUUUUCCGGCCAAACCACUACGAUUCAGACAUCGUGUGAGAUACCAUUCUCUUCGUCUCUUCGAGGGCUACAACUUUUCUUUUUGUUUCACUCAAUUUCGUUGCGUAUUGAAAAAGUUAUACUCAUUUGAAUCUUACCCAGUUUCCGACGACCUCAGCGACCUCAGUGAUUUUCGAGGCAUUUUUCGGCCAAACCACUACGAUUCAGACAUCGUGUGAGGUACCAUUCUCUUCAUCUCUUCGAGGGCUACAACUUUCGUUUUUGUCUUGCUUGAUUUCGUUGAGUUUUGACAAAGUUAUGGCCGUUUAAAGUGGGUGUAAAAUUUCGGCCGAAAUUUUGAUUUUUUCCCCCAUUGGGCGAGUCCCACAUCGCCCAUGCAAGGAAGUGAGCAAUGAAUUUUUCCUAUAAAACUCACACUCCUCUGGUGAGAUAACCAAAACUUGUUUGGCCUUUGGGCCAUGAUCAAGUUAACUAUGUGUUAAGUUUUCUCAACAUAUUUAAGUAUUUAUUUAAUAAAAUAUGUUGAUAUUAUCGAUAAUUUCAAAAAUAUCGCGAUAUUAUCGAUAUUAUCAAUAAUAUCGCGAUAUUUUGACGAAAAUAGGUUGGAUUGUUAAAAAAAUUUCGGAACUUUAAAAAAACGAUAAUAUCGGCGAUAUUUUGCCGAUAUUAUCGAUUUUUUCCUCCUUGCUGCCAUGGCAUAUUUAUCGACGUCGUACACACCGACCCAACGCCAUCACCCCCUCUAAUCUGAUGCCUUCCUCGUCGACCCAACCAACCCACCCCUAUUUCUCACCUCCGUUGACCUUCCUUCGUAACACCCAUAUUAAACCAAUAAAUUUGACCGGCAAAGAGGAGUGGGGUAUCUGAAUAACCAACUCGUCGCCGUCGACGAGGAAUGGAGUGGGGUAUCUGAAUAACCAACUCGUUGCCGUCGAUGAGGAAUGGAGUGCGGUCGCUGUCGAAGUGCACUGGAGUGGGGUCGCCAUAAAAGAGAGGGUUCGACAUGGGUUCGCCGGUGAACAGAGGCGUUAGGGUUGUCGAGGUCGUCGGAGAAGAUAUGGGCGGAGUGGGGUCGCUGGAAAAAGAAGAGAUUGGUGGCGAUCUCGCCGAAGAAAAGAAGGGUUGGGGGUGGGCUUUCCGGAGAAGUGAGGGAUUGGGUUGGUCUCAACGGAGAAGAGAAGGGGGAGAAUGGAGGGGGAUGAGGGUUUCCAGCACAUAGACAGGAAAGAAGAUAGAAGAUGGAUAGUGUUUGGUUACGGAGAUAGUAGGAGUUUGAGAGAGGUUUGAGAGAGAAAUUUCUUUUUUUUUUUGGUAAAAAGAGAGAAUUUUCUUUGACUGGUGUUAAAAUUUUAAUGGGACACGUAGGAUGGUGAACAAAUUGAGUACCACCCGGUGAGGACCCAAGGAUUGUCCGACAAAGAAAGUCAUGAAAUGGGAUCCAUUUGGAACGAGGAAAUUUCAAACCUCAAUCCAAUGUCGAUUUCAAUCAGACAAUGAGGAUCCAAGGGGAUCCUCUUCCGUACUUUUUAUACCCAUUUAGUCUAGUGGUAUAAUAAACUAAAACAUAAUCAUUCUACUUUAGGGGAUUUGAUUUCCAACAAAUGUUAUCUCUCCCACUCCCUGGGGGCCUACACGCUACUGAGAAAAUUAGAUCUACUCCAAUUUCUAGUUUCGGGUUGAGAAAAAAACAAAUAAUGAUAAUACUACUCUUUUGUCAAGUGUCUUUAUCUCAUAAAGUGUAAGAUGAAAUGCUAAUAUUACUUUGAUGUAAGCUUGAAUACUGUCAAAACUGUAUAAUCGUUAAAAGAGUACCAGUGAAGCAACAUUUUACACUAAAAGUAAAGGGGAUGAUGAGAUAUCAUAGUGUUCAUUUAUGUUGAUGAUAUAUCUUCGCUAAGAGAUGCCAAGAAUUCAUGGAUGAAUUUAAAUUGGUUUUUAGAAUCUACACUAAAAGUAAAAGGGAUGCAAGAUAUUAUUAUUAUUAUUAUUUAUUGGUUUCUAGAAUUUCAAUUUAUUUAUAAGAUGUUAUGAAAUUAGCGUGAGGACCAGCAUCCAAAUGGGAAGAAAGCACCCUGAAGAGCUCUCCUUUUUAGAGGAUAUAGGCAAAAAUAAAAGUUUUUGGGUAAAUUUCAGAACUCUCUAGUAAUCUCAUACAAUUCAAAUACUUUAUUUCUCUCCAUCUUGCAACUUUUUCUUGGAGUCAAUAUCUCAUGCCCCCUCAGUAUUAGAAUUAAUGAUUUUUCAUGAGUAUGAUUAUUGAUUUUGAGCGGACUCCGCCUAUAUUUUCAUUCCUAAAAAAAUUAUUAAACUUUUAAAUCGCAGAAUCAAUUGAGAAAGAAUUCAAUUCCCGUUUUUCCACUCCCAUUCCACUUUAGUAAGCAUACCAUUAAUCUAUGAACAUUUUUGUUCGACAAAAUCUUAAAUUUAAAUUCUGGCUCUCCAAUUAAUAAAACAAAAUUAUGAUCGAUUUUUUUUUCACAAGUUCUGAAUGGUUUAACAUAUUGUGACAGCCCGUUCCGAAUUAAAAUAUAUUUUAUCUUUGAAUGCAUAGAAAUGACGAUUUUACCCUCGUAGGGCUUGUGGCGUGGAUAUACGUAAAUAAUUUUAAAUCAUUUUAUGUGGAUGAAAUUAAAUUAUAUUUGAUGCCACGGGAGUAUCGACAUUAAUUAAGGGCCUAGUUGGGUUUGUAGUGGAAAAAUUGUGAAGAAAUAGGGGGAAUUUAGGACCAUUGAAAUUGCCCAAUCCGGGCAUGUACACACACACACCCACACGUGCACCCCAUCUCCUUCUCUCUUUCUUCUUACCCUCUCUCCCCGUCUGUACAACCAAACCCCAUAACCCUUAAACCUCACUUUUCAUCCACAUAUCGAGCUUGAGGACAGUGCUUCCCUUGACCUUACUAGUCGAGCCGUACCGUUGGUUUGAGGAGAAGACCGGUAAAAUCCGAAAUACCCGAGCUUCGGCGAGGUACCCUGUUACUCCGACGUGAUUGUGGACGUUCCACGGUAUUUUAAGGCUCAUAAAGGGUCCUAAACAAUUAUUCUAGGAUCCUGGGUUAGUUUUGGAAUGGUUAGAAUGUCGAAAAUCUUGGAUUUGUCGAGGUUCAAGUUCGGCCGGUUGUGUCGAGUUAUUUUCCGACUGUUUUCCGUCGGUGUUAAAACUUCAAAUUGUUUCUGGCGACGCAGAUGACGGCCAGCGGCGGAGUCCGGCGAACCACCUGAGAAAAAGGAGGAAUAUUCUGUCAACUUUGACGAAAUAUACUUAACGGCGUCAAGUGAGACGUUUUGGGAGGACGAGCGCAGCCAGGCGUGACUCAGGGGUUACAACCCAGCUACAUACCAGUGAAUGGGCUUUUGGUUUUCUAUAUAUACGUAUAUAUGCUUACGUUUUCCCAUAAAUGAAUUUAAAUGGUUUUACGUUUUAAAAUGCGAUGUCAUGUUUGCUUUACAUUUUAGCAUAUGAUUUAGUAUAGCUUUGCAUAAUAUUGCAUGCUAUUGCGGAGGCUAAGGUAAGUUCAGGUAAGUACAUAUUGUUGGUAUGGUUGCACAGUAGUUAGUUAUGAAUCGAUGUGUGUAGAAUUCAUUGUCCUGCAUCCCGGUGUUAGUGCUUCACCCGAAGCCAGGACCUAGCCUUCACGUGAUCGUUCACCUCCCACACCACACGCUCACCUUGGAUCUAAGGCAGGUGCUAGCCUAUCGUACAUACCACAUUAGGUGGUUUCGACUCGUAGGUGACUUGCGAUACUUCGCAUAGCCUUCACUUGAUCGUAGCACUUGAGCAUAUUUAUUUACACCUAACCUGUCGUACAGACCACAUUAGGUGGUUCCAGCUCGUGUGCAGGACUUGACUGAUGAGUUAUAGACUCAGCCGUACAGGUCAUGUUAGGUGACUCCGGUUGAUAUGUCAUUUAUUAUUAAUUCAUUUCACUUGGUUUACUUAUGCAUUGUGGAGAUAAUUGACAUGGCAUACUUGGAGUUUUUACUACUAUCGAGCAUAGUUCUUAUAUAUGUACGUAGUACUAUUUUCUGGGAAACUAUACGGGUUUUAUAGUGAGGGGUUAUUACUUUUGGAAAGAUAAAUUGUUUUGAAAAGCUUUGUUUUCGCCCACUCACAUUUUCUGUUUUGUGCCCCUCCAGGUUCUAGGUAGAAGUUCGUAUUGGUGGCUCACGAGGACUCAUCGGCGGUUCUGACAGACAUCUACCAGUGUAAGGUUUCUAUCAUGUUCUGUAUAAUCAGUAGUUAAACUUCUGGACUGCAUUCUGAUACCUAUGCUCUGAAUAUGUGUGUAUCUACACUCUAAAUACUUUCCCUAGUACUUAUAUACUAUACUAGUGUAAAUUAGUUAGUUGGUUUUUAUUUUAUCCGUAUUUUUAUAUCACGUACAUUUCUGCACAGCGCACAUGGCUGCGUCACCCUCACGUGAUGGCCCGCAUGCCUCGAUCGAGGUCGGGAUGUGUCACACAUUCUAUAUCUUUUCCAAAAUCUAAGGUUAAAAGCCUAAAACCCUCAAUUAUGAGAGUUGAGAUCCUCUUCAGAUCUCUCUUGAAAGGCCCAAACUCCCGAGUCCGGCUAUUCUGGACACAAAAAAGGACAUUUGUUUAUGUCUUCCACCAAUCAGGGGAUUUGUUUACGUCUCCAAUUUCUGACGCUUUCAUUUUUUUUUCAGCUGCAAAAAUUAGAUCCACUCCAAUUUUUCUAGUUUCAAAAUGAGGGUUGAGAAAAAAAAAACAAAUAAUAAUAUUAAUUAGAUUUUAUUUUUCAAUGUUGUUUGCUACAUUAUCGUGUUACUUUAUUAUUAAUAAUACUAAUUUGGUUUUGUAGAUUAAGAUUUUUAAGCGAGAAACAAGUUCAAAAUUCAAUUGAGGUAUGAAUCUUUUUGCUUUUUUGGGCUGUUGAAUUCAUCCUAGCCUUUACUGCAUUUUUUUUUUUUUACCGCUUCUCUCUGCAUGCUUCUAGCUGUUGUGUGUGUGUGUGUGUGUAGUAUUCAAUUGUUUUGCAUUUAUUUUUUGGAGUUUUAACGAAAAGCCCGCGGUACUCUUCACUUUAACGAAAAAUCAUAUUUUUACACUAAAAAGUCAAACCUGAUAUUAUUUACUUUACCCUUUAUUUUGUCUUUGUCGUUAAAACUCAAAGUUUUCAAGCCAUUUUCAUUAGUUUCCUUUUUAUUUUUUCCUUUCAUUUUUACUCAAUUUUUGUACUGUUUCUCCAUGUGUUGCUUCAUGUAUGUUUCUCGAUUGUUUGAGUUUACUCUUUGCCUUCAGUUUUUAUUGAAUUUUUUGACUUUUUGUGCAUGAAAUAAUCUAUUUGUUAUAUGUCAUGGUUAAAGGUUUGGUUUCUUUCUUUUUUCCCUUUUAUCAAAAGAAAACUAAUGAAAAUGGCUUGAAAACUUUAAGUUUUAAUGAUAAUGACAAAAUAAAGGGUAAAGUGAAUAGUACCCAGAUUGACUUUUUAGUGUAAAAAUAUGGUUUUUCGUUAAAGUGAACAGUACCGGGUGUUUUUCGUUAAAGUUCCAUUUUAUCAAUCCUCUCUCUUUACAAUUUAAGUUGAAUUACCAUGGGAUGUACAACAAGGGAGGCUAAAAAGCAGUCUAGCCCCAGGAAAAGGCCAUAAACAAAGAAAGAGACCAGUGCUUAAAAGAGGCUAGCGAUGGUUAAACUUAAAAGAGGCUAAGUAGUCCGAAAGAGAUUUAACAAGACAUAAAACGCAACUUUUGUCCAAAUCCUAGACAUCCCACUAACCCAAAAAAAGUACAAAAUGACAGCUGGCUACUCCAACGUGAUCAACACCUUUGGUUCAUUUUCCACGUUGGUGGAUUACCCUAAGCCCCUCAAAUAAUUAACAAAUCAUCCAAACGUGUUUCACGUUGGUGGGUUAUCCUGAAUCUCUUAAUAAUUAACAAAUAAAUCAGCAUGCUUUCACAGUGCAUCUGCACAUUUUGGUUCCAGGAAGUGAUAAAACUGAAAGUUGAACAAUGUUUUUACAUCAGCUCCACAACAUCAUUAACUUUUGACACCUUCAAUUAUUUUGAAUUAAUAGCACAAUAAUAAAGCUACUUUAAUUUUCUUCUUUGGGAUUACUUUAAUUAUGCAGGCAUCCUUGGUUGCAUUGCCUUAAAAAUGCAUGCAAUCUCGGACACUUAACAAAGUUGCUUACUUUGAUGAGCAAUUUUCCCCCAAAAAAGAAUUGAGUGCAUCAGGCACAGAUCAUGGCCCAUAAAUUAUAAAAAUAGUUACGAAAAACUACAAAAGCAAGUGCCCACUUAAUAUACGUCUAAAUGUGUGUCUAAAAAUUUAAAGGUGUGGUUUACUAAAAAUAAUAAAUAAAUUAAUUAAUUAAAUGUGUGAACAAAAGUUUAAAAUUAUGUGAAAAAGUCUAAAGGUGUCAAAAAAAUAGUAUAAAUGUGUAUGUAAAAGUCUAAAUAUGUGUGUAAACGUCUAAAGCUGUGUGAAAAUAAAGACUUUUGAACACUUAUAUUUUAUGUUGUCGUGUAAAAUCUCUAUAAAAGAGAUGUCUAUGUAUGUUUGUAAUCAAUCACAUUCCAGCAAUACGAAAAUAAAAUAUUUUUGUUAUCAGAAGAAACUUGUUGCUAAUAGUCUGAAAAACAUUCAAACUAAUUUUCUAAAACCAGUGAAACAUAAUUUCACACUAAAAGUAAAGGGGAUGAUGGCAUAUCAUAGUGUUCAUUUAUGUUGAUAAUAUAAUCUACACAAGGAGCUGACAAGAAUUAAUGGAUGAAUAUAAAUUGGUUUCCAGAAUUUAGGCUAAACGUAAAAGGAAUGUUGAGAUAUUAUUAUAAUUAUUAUUAUAGAUUGGUUUCUAGAAUUUCAGUUUAUUUAUCAGAUGCUAUGAAAUUAGCCUGAGGGCUAGCAUCCAAAUGGAAGCAAGUACUGAUGGGCUCCAUUUUUAAUGUCCUCCUCAGAGGACAUAGGCUAAAAGUAAAAGUUUUACGGUAAAUUUCAAAACUCUCUAAUAAUCUCAUGUAAUUUGAAUACUUUUUUUUACUCCAUCUUGCAACUUUCUUUUAGAGUCAAAAUCUCAUAGCACCUAAUGAUAUUUAUUUUUAUUUGUAAGUGAAAGAUUUUAAGUUCGAGUCUCGAUUCUCAAAUUAAUUAAACAAAAUUAUAACUAACUUUUUCACAAGUUCUGAAUGGUAUUCAUAUUGUAUCCCUUUUCCACAAUAUAGGCUUAAACGCCACAAUUACAGGGACAAAGAAAGUCAUAAAUUGGGGUCCAUUUGGAAUGAGGAAAUUUCAAUGCUCAAUCCAAUAUUGACUAGCAGAGAGCAUACACUUUGUGUGUAUGAACAACCGCCCACCUCUUCUCACGUUCUCAUCAAACGAAACUGCUUCAGUUCAUUCAAACUAUCCAAAAAAUAUUAUGAUUUCACUUACCUGUAUGAAAAAAUGAGAGUGGGACAAUUUUUCUUAAUAAGUGCAUAUUUUUUUAUUUUAUGUAAAUAUUUUGAUACAAAAUUACUAUUUUACCCUCCUCAUCUCAACAUUGUGUAUUCAAAAGUGAGAGGCAAAAUUAGAAAAAAUAGGCAAAAAGGUUGAUAAGGUGUAUUCUCUUAAUAAUAGUAUAGAUUACAAUAUGAGGAUUCGAGGGGAUCCUCAUCCGUACUUUUUAAACCCAUUUGCAAUUUUAUUGGUAUUCACAGUUUUAAAUUUACCCAUCGAUCCUCACAAAUUAUGCUAUUAAAUUUAGUACACUACUAGCCUUCACGCACGUGCGUGAGCGCGAAGAAGGUUUUUUUUGAAUCACAGCGCAACAUGCGUGCGUUUUAAAUGUAUUUAUAGACGUAAAUUGACAAAAGGAAAAUUAAAUAUUUGAAGUAAAUGAAUAAUUUUCAAUUAUGCUAGAACAAACCUCUUAUAAACCAAUUAAAAUCGUUGAAUUAACAUAAUAAAAUCAAUUUCUAUAGAAUUUACAUUAGGAAUAGAGAAAAUAAUAUUUAAUAAACAAUUGAUUGAAUCACAUUAUUACUAGCCGAUGUACUAAUUAUUAAAAAAACAAAACAAAAAUUGUACAGGAAAAAGUUAAAUAUUAAAAAACUGUUUAAAACUGUACACUGAAUAGUUAAAUAUUAAAACACUGUUCAUCACUGUAGACUAUAUAGUAAACUAUUAAAACACUGUUUAUAUGACGAAAAUACCCCUGCAUUAUUUGUUGUAUUAUUUUGAAUUACUUUGUUUGGAGGGCAGUUUGGUCCUUGUAGAAGCUGAAACACUGUUCACACUAUUCACCUUUCCUCCGGCUUUCUAUAUAAAAGAUGAAAUUUCUUUGAUUGAAAUCCCAAUCAUUCUCUAGUCGCAUAAUGAACUAAAACGUAAUCAUUCUACUUUAGUCUACAGUAUUUGAUUUCCAAGAAAUGUUCUCUCUCCCACUCCCUGGGCCCACACGCUACUGUGUAUUGCAUUGCGUUUAUGUUUGAGCAACUGAGAAAAUUAGGUGAUCUCCAAUUUCUAGUUUCAAAACGAUGGUUGAGAAAAAAAGAUAAUGAUAAUACUACCCUUUUGUCAAGUGUCUUCAUCUUAUAAGGUGUAAGAUGAAAGACUAAUAUUAUUUUGAUGUAAGCUUGAAUACUGUCAAAACCAUGUAACCAUUAAAACUUAAAAGAGUACUAGUGAAGCAAAAUUAUACAUAUUCUAAAAUCCAACACAAAAAGCACUGUUCAUUAACAGUGAAAGGCCUGUAUUAUAGAUAUGUUUUUUUAUAUCAAAUUUUAAAUUAUCGGUGUUAAUAAAAUUGAUUUGGUUUUCCAGAUCAUAAUUUUUAAGCAACAAAAUCAACCUGCAAAUUCAGUUCGGAUAUGAAUGCUUCUGCUUAUUUAGAUUGUUGAAUUGAUCUUUACCUUUACUAGAUUUUAUUUUUCAAUGUUGUUUGCUACAUCAUCGUGUUACUUUAUUAUUAAUAAUACUAAUUUGGUUUUGUAGAUUAAGAUUUUUAAGCGAGAAUCAAGUUCAAAAUUCAAUUGAGGUACGAGUCUUUUUGCUUAUUUGGGCUGUUGAAUUCAUCCUUGCCUUUACUGCAAUUUUUCUUUUUUACUGUUGUUUGGUACAUUCUGGUAUUGAUUUCAUUGCAAUUUUUCUCUUUGCCUUCAGUUUUUAUUGAAUUUAUUGACGUUUUGUGCACGAGUUAAUCUAUUUGUUAUAUGUCGUGGUUAAAGGUUUGGUUUCUUUCUUUUUUUCUUUUUAUCAAUCCUCUCUAUUUACAAUUUAAGUUGAAUUACCAUGGGAUGUACAACAAAGGAGGCUAAAAAGCAGUCUAGACCCAGGAAAAGGCCAUAAACAAAGCAAGGAAAAAGACCAGUGGUUAAAAAGGCCAAGUAGUCCGAAAGAGACAUAUAAACAAGACAUAAAGCGCAACUUUUGUCCAAAUCCUAGACAUCCCACUAACCCAAAAAAAUAAAAAAUGACAGCUAGCUACUCUAACGUGAUCAACACCUUUGCUUCAUUUUCCACGUUGGUGGGUUACCCACCCUAAGCCCCUCAAAUAAUUAACAAAUCAUUCAAACGUGUUUUAUGUUUGUGGGUUAUCCUGAACCUCUCACUAAUUAACAAAUAAACCAGUAUGCUUUCACAGUGCAUCUACACUGUUUGGUUCCAGGAAGUGAGAAAACUGAAAGUGGAACAAUGCUUUUACAUCAGCUCCCACUAUAUCGUUAACUUUUAGCCCUCAAGUCUUAAUUAAGUUUUUUCUUUGUUAAGUUUUGUCUGCAUAAAAACAAAGUCACCAGCUCCCACUACAUCAUUAACUUUUGACACCUACAAUUAUUUUGAAUUAAUAGCACAUAAUAAAGCUACUUUAAUUUUCUUCUUUGGGAUUAGUUUAAUGAUGCAUGCAUGAUGCAUCCUUGGUAUUUUCUUCUCUGGGAUUACUUUAAUUAUGCAGGCAUCCUUGGUUGCAUUGCCUUAAAAAUGCAUGCAAUCCCGGACACGUAACAAAGUUGCUCACUUUGAUGAGCAAUUUUCCCUAAAAAAAAAUUGAGUGCAUCACAGUCACAGAUCAUGGCCCAUAAAUGAUAAAAACAGUUACGAGAAACUACAAAAGCAAGUGCCCUUUAGUUUACGUCUAAAUGUGUAUGUAAAAGUUUAAAGAUGUGAACAAAAGUUUAAAAUUAUGUGGAAAAGUCUAAAGAUGCGUAAAAAAAAAAAGUAUAAAAGUAUAUGUAAAAGUCUAAAGCUACGUAAAAGUAAAGACUUUUGAACACCUAUGUUUUAUGUUGUUAUGUAAAAUCUCUAUAAAAGAGAUGUCUAUGUACGUUUGUAAUCAAUCACAUUCCAAUAAUAAGAAAAUAAAAUAUUUUUGUUAUUGAAAGAAACUUGCUGCUAAUAGUCUAAAAAACAUUCAGAGGAAGCAGCAUGCUGUUAGAAAAUUAGUCUGAAAGUUUUUCUUACUAUUAGUCUUCCGAUUACAAAAACAUUCUCUUUUUUUAUUGUUGGAAUGGGAUCGAUUACAAACAUACAAUGUUAUCAUUUGUUGUUCGAACUAGAACAAUGUUUCUCCAUAUGUUUUGCAUGUGAAUAGGCCAUUAUAAGAUCAGUACCCCAAUUUUUUGUGUAAAAGGACAAUCUAAUGUUUUCAAAUCUUUUAUCUGCAACUACUGAUGUGAAUCAAGAACUAGGAUGACUGCCAAGGGAGAAUAUCAUAUAUAACCAUCUGUGUAUGUCAAUGACAAAGUGUUUGCUAAUUUUUUUUUUUUUGUAUAAAAUGUAUAAAUCUAGACAUUGGCCUGUAAAAAAUAUUUGCUACAUUAUCUAUACAACCUUCAUUAUCUUUGUGUAAAUAGUAUUAGCAGACACUCACAUAUAUUUCCAUGUAUAAAAUGAAACGAAGACCAGUCAAUAUGUUACUGCUGGUCUUAAUAAUUGAAAGUUGAUUGUUUGCUAGUGCUCUGGUAAAUGGGAAGCCACAAUCAUUCUACUUUAGUCUAGUAAGUAUUGAUUGAUUACAAUCAGACAAAUUGGAAAACUGUUUGGGCUCAAAAUAAUAGUUUGGCCGAGGGUAGGAUCAUUCUCGGCCCGGGAGGCCGUGCGGCGAAAGGGCCAUGGAUCGUUCAGCUCAUGGGCUUCCAAGCCUAGGUCGGUUAAAUCAGAACGCAAGACGAGUCCUAGUACAACAGGGAGUCUCGACGGGAUCAGUAAUCCAGAAAGUGAAUCCGGCUCAGUUAAAGACUAGGUUUGUAGUCCUAGUGAAGAUAGGACUGGUCGAGGUGAUGUUGAUCCGGAGAGGGAAACCUAGUCCGAGUAGGAUUUUAGCUCGGACUCAAGGUCCAGUGCUAUAAAUAAGGGAAGCUGUGCAUCAAGGAGGGCCCUGCAAAUCAAUACAAAAUUGCCCUGCGCAAAUUCUCACAACUUGGGAUUUUUCUUUUUCCUUUUUCGCUGACACAUCUUCCGUUGGCAUCAACAGCACUGUGGAAGCAACCGGUGAUAUCUUAAGUCGGCAUAGAUAGCUCUGUCACCAUAGAAUUAGUCGGUCUCGCAGUAACUUCUGUUGGCAUUAACAACACUGCGGCGAGAACGAUUGGUUACCUAUCCGAGUCUCGGUCGAGAAGGAUUUCUGAAUCCUUAUUAGCCGAGGUCAUCUCAUCAGCCUCCUCGGUGAAGUGAGGUGUUACAAGUGAUUACAUUCGGCACGUUGAAAGCCGAAUUUGAUAUUGAACUUCGUAAAAAUAGUAACCUUGUCUUCAGGUUCGAGAACCCAAGAGGCCGAGACGUGUUCCUUUCUCGGCCGCAAUCGCAAGACGCAGAAGUCAGCCGCACCCAACGCAACAUCAACAAAUUUACUCCUCGGCCGAGCUCGGCAUACGAGUUGGCACGCCCCGCAAUCACCGAAGGACGUAGUUAGCUUAUAGAUUACUCGGCCUGCGCGCCACGUAGGCUUGGUAGUUUCUAGGGUCAACAUUUUGGCACGCCCAGUGGGACCCAGUGCUAAACUACGAAGUUCAUGCCAAUUGAAACACGAUCGGUAAAAAAGAAAACAGCUAUGGGAAAGUCGACAGCCGAUUUGCUGAAUCAAAGCACGGGACAAAGUGUGCCACAGACGCAGAAUCCCCUUAGCGCUGUGACACCUGAGUCCACAAGCGCGACCCGCCGAGAGAGAGAAGUUACUCUCGGCGGUCAGCUCCGCGGUCUAGAAAUCCCUAACAGAAACACCUGCGUUUUCACUGAAGGGAUAGUCGAGCAGACGUUUAGUCGAGGCAUUAACAAGCUGCAUGACGUGAUACUCAGUUCCAAUGAGUGACAAACUAGAUUGCUCGAAAUGCUGGUUAGUAAAGUCAGUGAAAGCAGGCCUUUCGAUCUUCUCCAGCACUUACCACCAGGAAACAAUCCGUUACCAAUUGUACCAGCCGAGCCUAUUCCUGCUCGGCUCAAACCAAUUAACUUGGAAAAAGGAGGAGGGUCGAAUAGUAGGUCAGACGGAACCGACCAGAGAGUCGAGGCAACACCUGUCGAUAUGACCGAAGUCCAGCGGAUGAUCGACUCGGCCAUGAAGAAAGGGCCGAAGUUUCCUAAGUUUAUUCAUCCGUACCCAUCUUACGUGGAAACGUUCGGAUACCCGAAGGGUUUCAAAAUCCCAGAUUUCAGCCUUUUUGCCGGUGAAUCAUCCCUGUCUUCGUUGGAGCAUGUGGCUCGUUUCACCGCGCAAUGCGGGGAUGUUAAUAGUGAUUUCCAUAAGUUACGGCUGUUCAAUUUCUCAUUGACCGGAUCAACAUUUGCCUGGUAUAUCAAUCUUCCUCCUAAUUCCGUCCAAAACUGGGAGGAGUUGGUCGAGAAAUUCCACGAGCAGUUUUAUCGGCCAGGGAUUGAGAUGUCAGUUUCUUCAUUAGCACGGAUGGCUCAAGCGUCUGAUGAGUCACCAAUGGAUUAUCUUACCAGGUUCAAAUCAGCCAGGAAUUGGUGCCGAGUGCCUUUACCUGAGGUCGAAUUUGUCAGGCUUGCUUUGAACGGCCUCGAUGUCGAAUACAAAAAGAAAUUAUUGGGGGAAAACUUUCGGGAUAUGUACGAAUUAGCCCAACAUGUCGAACAAUAUGAUUAUUUGCUCCGCGAGGAAAAGACUUCGAAAGCUCCAACUCGGGGGACGAUUUACAAGAAUCCUACUGUCAAUUAUGCAUCAACUGAGGAUGAAUAUGUUAGUGUGGAUGCAGCUGAGAUAGUGAUAGAUAAGCUAUACGUUUGCAAGGCAUUGACUCAGGUUGAUUCUAGGGAAGUCAAAAGCCGCUCGGCCACGGAAGGAACAUUGAAACCGUCAAAAGUUUACAAUUUUGAUAUUACAAAGGCUGACGUAAUUUUUGACCAACUGUUAUCAGCAAGAAUCAUCAAGCUUCGGCCUGGUCACAACAUUCCCAAGGCCGAAGAGCUUAAAGGAAAGGUGUAUUGCAAGUACCACAAUUCAAGCAAACAUACGACAAACAAUUGCGUCGUGUUUCGCGACAACGUGCAAAGCUGAAUUGAUAACGGCAAACUGAAAUUUCCAGAGAAGAAGAUGAGUGUUAAUACUGAUCCGUUCCCCACGGCAACAGUAAAUAUGGUCGAUACGUACCUACUUAAGGACAAAAGGAAAGGAAAGGCUGAAGUUGUUGCAACGCAAUGCUGGCGAAAUCAGAAUUCUCGGCCACGGUUCAUGGUCGAUUUUCGUGCAAACGAACCACCUACAGCUUUAACAGGACCCGCUAUUGUCAAACCUAUGAUGGAUUAUAGCACCGAUGAAGACAGUGGGACGGCGGUUUUGUGCAGAAAAUGUAGAGCAAAGGUCGACAGUGAGCCAGGGGAGAAGCCCUCUUCGCUUGUAACAGAACGACCUAUGGACGCAACCCGGCAAAAGGUAACUAACGUAGGCCAACAUCAAAGGGUUUUUGAUAGGCUCGGUCCUAAAGUACGGAUGGAAGAGACACCCCCGGUCAAGCGGCGCCUCGAUUUUGAUGCUUCAUUCUAUGACGAUGAUUACUAUAAACGUAAUUCUAGCAGUUCAAAAUCAUCGCGGAGCCAAAAAACCUUCAAACCUCCCGAGCCUAGAGAUCAACGUUGGUAUACAUAUCAUUCUUCGAAAGGUGUUUACACCGCGUUGUCCAAAUCCCAGAAACGUCGGCAUCAAAGGAUAGAUUGCAUGGCCCGCCGACGGGCCGCCCAAGAAACUUCGGUCCUUAAAUGGCGGCCGAAGGACACAAUUGCUACUGAUGAUGAAUGACCACCUCCAGCCAUUAUGACAGAGUUGGUUCAAGGGAAACGGUUGGUCGACCAAGAUGUUGAAACCACGUUUGAAGAGGCCGAUAAACGGAUCAAACUUCUUUUUCGACCAGGGGAGAUGAAGGCACGCCUUGAACAUUUCAGGCAAGAGGCCGAAAGCAAAUUAGCCCCGCCGGCUAUACAAGAACCUUUGAUUAAGAUUCGACGGAAUUUGCACCCCCCGUUCCUUGGGGAGUCUUUGGAAUAUAUGCGCGAAUUCCAUAAGAAACAUUCGGCCAAUGAUCUGUAUGGCUUGCCAAAGGCAUGCCAGGACACCAUUGAUCUAGUCCUGACUUGUCCUGAUGCCGAGCGAAUCAUCCAGAAAACCUCAGACACAGGGCUGAAAGCAAGGUUCCAGCACAUACGAGAAGCUCGUGUCCUUGGAUUUGAAGUCGACCCAUACACUGAUAUUGAUGCAGCCGACCUUCCUUUCUCAAUGGAGGACCUUCAGUAUUUACGAUAUCACUUCGAAGUAUUCUCGGCGAUUUCGCUCUUCGGCCUUACGACCGAUGAAAUAGCACGUGUUGCACGUCUGGAUGCUUAUCUCGACACUAGGGAUGCCCGGCUACGUUACCAGGAGCAGGUCCUGACCCCGAGCACACUGUCGAUCUCAACCUCACAUGAGGUAGGUACACAGACCCAACAAGUUGCCAAAGCAGCACCGCAGGAUCAAACCAUCGAAGAAGGAACAGAAGAGUCUUGUUGUCCAACCUUGACAGCAACAGAGUUCGUGGUUGCCGACCAGACAAGAGAUGAGGAUAGUGAGGAGGGUCCUAACCCGAUGGGCUCGUCAGUCUUGGAUAACAUGGAAAUCAGUAUGGUCCAUGUGUUACCCGCUGAUUUUCAAUCAAGCACGACCCAACCGAAUUUCCUCGAUGGUGACGUAGUCGCUGAAGAAGCCGGCCAUGUUGAUUUUGUAUCUGUUGCUGAAGUUGAAUCAACGACAAAAGCUGACAGUCUAAAGGCGGCUUUGGCCGAAUUGUUUCCUCGUUCAUCAUCGGCCAAACUUCGCCAUUUAAAGCCUUUGUAUGUGACGGCCCAUAUCGAGGGGUAUCCAGUUUCUAAAGUUUUCGUCGACUGUGGAACUACCGUCAAUAUCAUGCCUCUAAACAUCAUGAAGGCCUUACGUCGCUCGACUGACGAGCUUAUUCUGUCAGGGAGCACAGUGAGUAGUUUUGUCGGCGAAAAAUCCCAAACCAAAGGUGUACUUCCGUUAACUGUAAACAUUACCGGUCGCACUCACAUGACCGCCUUUUUCAUGGUUGAUUCCAAAACCGAGUAUAAUGCACUGCUCGGUCGAGACUGGAUUCAUCAAACCAGUUGUAUUCCUUCAUCAUUGUAUCAAGUGCUUGUCUUUUGGGAUGGCAACUCGGUCACUGUUCACCCGGCCGAUAGCCAGCCCUUUGAAGCUAAAAUGAUCCAAGCACGGUAUUAUGAUGACCACGUCGACUACAUUACAUUGCAAGGCUUCAAUGAAGAAGGACGGCCGACUCGGAUUUCGGUUCAGAAAGCUAUCGAGGUUGGUGCCGAGACUGUCCAGCAGGAUUCGGCGAGACUCGGAUUAGCCAAUUUCCUCCCCGAAGCUGAUGUUUGACACCGAUCGGGAAACACGUAGGGCCGCGGUUUCAUCUACUAUGGAACGACUGCUGGCCCAUUGGUAUACUAUAUCCAAACAACCAAAUUCGGGCGUUAACCUCGUCGAGUUCCUUACCGAAGGAGAUAAUGGUCCUGUCUUGUCUCUUGAUAAAAUUCAAGCCGCCCCGGCCGAACUCGAAGAUCAUCGGCCCCAAGUUAAGGACCCCUUGGAAGAGAUUAAUAUUGGGAUGGCCGAUGAUCCACGGCCUUUGUUUGUUAGUGUGUUACUUCCCCAACAAAUGAAUGACGGGUUUCGUGCCUUGCUUACGGAGUUCAAAGAUUGUUUUGCUUGGAGCUAUCAUGAAAUGCCCAACUUAGAGCGUACUCUGGUCGAGCAUGAAUUACAUAUUAAGCCCGGAUGCAAACCUUUCCGUCAGCCACCUCGUCGAUUCUCGACCGAAGUGCAACUCGGCAUCAAAGACGAAUUGGUUCGGCUUUUGAAAGCCAGGUUCAUUCGGACAGCUCGAUAUGUUGAAUGGUUGGCAAAUAUCGUGCCUGUUUUAAAGAAAAAUGGUGCACUACGCAUUUGUAUCGAUUUCAGAAAUCUGAAUCUGGCAACUCCCAAAUAUGAGUAUCCAAUGUCGAUUUCAGACCUGUUAAUCGAUGCUGCGGCAAAUCAUGCAAUCUUAUCCUUUAUGGAUGGACACGCCGGAUACAACCAAAUAUUCAUUGCUGAAGCCGAUGUGCACAAAACUGCUUUCCGUUGCCCGGGGGCACUCGGGACUUACGAAUGGGUUGUUAUGCCGUUCAGCCUCAAGAAUGUCGACGCCACAUACCAGCGGGCGAUGAAUACCAUCUUCCAUGAUUUAAUUGGAACCAUCAUCGAAGUUUACAUCGACGAUGUUGUCAUCAAAUCUAAACGCCGACAGACACAUCUGGACGAUCUCCGACAAGCUUUCCUCCGCAUGUGUCGGCACAACCUCAAGAUGAAUCCUGCCAAGUGUGCCUUCGGCGUAUCGGCCGGAAAUUUUCUUGGCUUCCUCGUGCAUCACCGUGGGAUUGAAGUCGAUGAGAAUAAGGCCCGCGCAAUCAUCAAUGCCCCACCCCCAACUACGAAGAAACAACUCCAAUCCUUACUAGGACAGAUCAAUUUCCUCCGCCGAUUUAUUGCCGACUCAACAGGUAAAAUGAAAGCGUUCUCCACGCUUUUGAAACUCAAGGACUCCGAUAAAUUUGUGUGGAACGAUGAGCAUCAGGCGGCGUUUACGCAAAUCAAAGUCUCCCUCACGAACCCACAUGUCCUGGUUCCUCCUCGGCGCGGUAAGCCUCUUAAGCUCUACAUCUCGGCGGCCGAAGAGUCCAUCGGCUGCCUCCUUGCGUAAGACAACGACGCCGGACGAGAGCAUGCUAUUUUUUAUCUCAGCCGCAAUCUCAGUCAACCGGAGAUCAAUUAUCCAGCCGUCGAAAAGCUGUGCCUGGCCGUGUUUUUUGCCGCUUCCAAGCUUCGACAUUAUAUGCUCCCAUCAGUCACCCAAGUUAUUGCUCAGACCGACGUCAUCCGCUACAUGCUCACCCGACCAAUCGUAAAAGGCCGCAUUGGGAAAUGGACCAUGGCACUGUCCGAAUUUAGCUUGCAGUACGUAGCCAGAAAGCUAUCAAGGGCCAGGCACUGGCUGAUUUCCUUGCUCAACAUCCCUCCCCAUACGGUUUUGGGGGCAACGACGUUGAAAUCGGCAUUGUUCAGACGCGCGACAACCACUGGACGAUGUACUUUGACGACUCCAGUACGUCAUCUUCGACGGGCGUGGGAAUUGUCAUUCAAUCCCCGAACCACGAUCACUGGUUAUUUUCGCUUAAGUUGGAUUUCGAAUGCACCAACAAUCAGGCCGAAUAUGAAGCCCUAAUCGUCGGCCUUGGAAUUCUUCAUGACUUGCGGGCGACCCGCGCCCUAACAUUAUCAAGUUGAUUAUAUAGCGAUCUGACAAAUAUUGUGAGUGUAGAAAAUAUGUAGUAAUUAAUGAAAGAAGUCUAAACACACCAUAAUCAUUUAUAUAUAAUGAAUUAGUACAAUAUUUUACACUUUAGUACCACAUAGAGUUCCUAUGAGGUUCAAAUUUUUCACUAUCUUCAUCAUCUCUAUGUGUAGAAUGAGUGUAUUGUGAAGAGUAGUUAUCAAAUGAUAAAUCCCCAAAAUAGUUUUGCAUGUAAUUGUUAAUAUGCCACCCAUAUGGAUCCGAGAUUGGUUGAGGUUGUCCAUAAGAAAAAACAUUUGAAGAUUGAGGCUGGGAUUGUUUCCAUGAGUCGCUCGAUUCCAUCCCAACAGGAAUGGGAUAUGAAGGGUAGGGAAAUGGUUGGUUAUGAGUAUAACCAUAGUUACUACUUCCCAAUCCAACAGAGUCUGAAGUUCUAGAUAACGAGUCAUCUUCUUGACUUGACAAAAUCCCCUUGCCUCUUUCUCUGCGAGUAUAGUCCUUCCCUAUGGCACCAAUUCCUGGUCCUGCCCGCCUACUGCCAUGGUCAUCAUCCUGUGUUGCAUGCGUGAAGUUUGCCUCACCAGUGAAGGGGCUCAUAUAUCCGGGAGAUGGUGGUCCAUAAUAGUUUCCAUAUCCACCACCACUACCUCCAACUCCACUACCUCCAGCUCCAUUAUGUCCUUCAUCAUUCCCACCUCCGGUGGUAGGUGAGUCUCCUGAUCUUGUACUAGAGCUAUCAUUAGUAUGAGCACGAUGUUGUGGUUGUGUAGGAUUGGAGAAGGUGGAAUUCCAGUGUUUCUUGGUCUUGGGUGCAAAAGUUCUUCGAAAGAGUUAGAGCUGCUAGAUCCCACAUCCUCCUCUAAUACUCUUUCUACAUUUAUCCCUUCAUUACGUGCUUCUUCAGCAACUCUGGGAGCUGGGUUGCCUUCAUCAUCAUCUAAAUGAAGAGGUCUAAUCCAUUGAAAAAAUUGGUUACCCUCCGUAUCAUCAUCUUCACCAACAAUAUCAAACACAUCUAGUGGGUCACCACGGUCGACAUGAUCGAUUUCUGCUUCCUUAUCUCGAAUUUGAAGCUUCAUGUUGUAGUAGCAAUAAACUAAUUUUUCCAAGCUACUAUGAGCCAACUUAUUUCUUUGCUUUGUGUGUAUGAGUGCAAAUGUGCUCCAAUUUCUUUCACAAGCAGAUGAGGAAGCUGUUUGUGAUAAUACUUUUAUUGCUAACUUUCUCACAGUUGGUGCAUCGGUCUCAUACAUGAUCCACCAUUCAGCUGCAAUGAAAAAUAAUGUUGAUAAGCCUAAUAACUCCAACAAAUUCUAUCAUAAACUUAUAGUGAAAUAUGUUUAUACUCACUAGGAGACAUAUUUGUUCGAGCAGCAACUGAUGUUGGUUCUCCAAAUGUUCUUCUUGCAUCUUUAAACCAUGUUAGCUGAAUACAAUAAAUUAUGUUAGUUUAAUCCAACAAAGUAAUUAUUAUAAAUUAAGUAAUUGUGUACCUCAUUUCCAAAUUGGCCAACUGCUGGUGAUGCAGGGUCUAAUUUAGAGUAUACAUUAUGUACAGCACGUAUAAGGUCACCAUCAUCUCCAACACCGGGUUUGUAUUGGUAUCGGGGAUUCAAAUAAUAUGCUGUUCAAAGAAACACAUACUCUAAUAAGAGAAAUAAUACUUAUGCAACUAAAGAAAUGAAUUGCAAAUUAUGACAUAAUUUAUACCUGUUGCAUGCAAAUCAUGGUAUAAUGUUUUAUACCAUCGGUCUUCAAUUAUUUUUAUGACCCACCUUGCACCAUGUUUUCUUUCCAAUUCAUCCUUCACUACACGCAUCAACUCAUAUACUGCCCCCAUAGUAGGAUACACUUCUGUGUCAACGAUCCGUAAAACUUUGUAAAGAGGUUCAAACACUUGACACACAUGUUCUGUUUGAGUCCAAAAAGCAUGAUCAAGCACUAUACUUUCCACCAUACGACCUGUAUUUGAGCGGCUGAAAUUGUGGUUGGCCCAAUCGUCACUAGUGAAUAGUUGCUUCAACCCUGCUUUCUUCUUGAGUAGGCUGUUUAAUGCAAUAUAGUUGGUGGCGAAUCGAGUGGUAGCUGGACGAAUAAUUUCUCCUCUGCAAAAUUCAAGCAUCUUUGCCAACAACCAACCGUGAUUGUAAAUAUAAUUUGUGAUCGUUCUAGCUCUUUUGACCAUAGUAGCAACAGUCUCUCUCUUCCCCAUUGCCUCAAACAUGAGAUCAAUACAAUGUGCUGCACAUGAUGUCCAAAACACAUUAUGAUGCUUCAUUAACUUUUUUCCAGCUUUGACAAAUGCAGAACCGUUGUCGGUCACGACUUGGACAACAUUAUGCUCUCCCACCUCCAUGAUUACAUCCCUCAAUAAUUUGUAAAUAUACUUGUAAUUCUUUAUAUGGUCUGAAGCAUCAACAGACUUCAAAAAAAUUGUCUUUCCCUUGGAGUAUACCAUGAAGUUGAUGAUAGAUAAUCUGGUCGGGCCGGUCCAUCCGUCACACAUGAUUGUGCAACCAUUAGUUUCCCACUUUGACCUCAACUUGUUAACAUACUCGCCAAUGUCUUUAUACUCCAUAUCCAAAUAUUUGUUUCUUAUCUCAUAGGGAGUGGGAGGUUGUACUCCAACACCGGCCUGUUGACAUCCCACUACCAUAUUUUUGAAAUGAUGUGAUGAUGCCUUCGCAGCAGGGACAUUUUCAUAGAUAAAGAACUUGCUAAUUAGACGCCUCAUUCCCUCCUUCACAUUACCUCCCUUGAAAUAACUCCAAACACUCUUUUGACGUGCGUUGGAUGACUUAUAUAAACUUGGGGCUAUUGGUGGUGUUGGUUGUGAUUCUCUAAGACUGCCUCCCCGUCUCAUUUGUGAACCACCACUUGUCCCGGAACCUUGUCCCCUAUUAGGAAUUUUAUGAAGGUGUUCUCUUUCCCAUGCUGACUGUUUGGAGGCACGUAAUGCUUGUUUCAAACUGCGUCGUUCUUCAGGUCCCAUGUCAUCAUUACAUUCGUCCUCAUCGUCAUCAUCAUCACUGUCAACCGCUUGGCCAUAGAUUUCUCCCCGUAGCCCAGCUCGAAUAUUUUCCAUUCCCUGUGUUAUCUUUUCCUUCUGCUGUUUUUUAUUUUUUAAUAAUGUGCUGAUGAAUGCCUUCACUUCUGGGGGGACAUUAUCGCAUCGUUGGACAUUUUUUGAUGGAUCUAAUCCACCAAGAUGAUACUUCAGUCGUGUCACUCCGCCACUCUUCAUUACCCGACCACAAUAUUUGCAAAUUGUGCCAUGUUUGUUUCCGUCUAUUGGGUCUCCAUAUUCCCAAGCUGGAUCACGUUUACUGGACAUCUUAAACGUACCUAUAUUUAUUUUUCAUGAAAAUUAGACAAUUAUUUUUUGAUAAAAAUAAGAGAACCUAAAUAAUAAAGUUAUUCUACAGAAGAAUUAAAUACAAAGUAAAGAAAAUGAUUGUAAAAAUUUAAGUAAUUAUACAAAUAAUAUGGAAUAAUAAAACCUAAUAUUAAUGAAUAAUAAUCCAAUUUGAUAAUAAUUCAAUUUAAUGAAUAAUAAUCCAAUUUGAUAAAAACAAAAUCCUAAUAUAAAACAUGGUGAUGAAUAAUAAUCCAAUUUGAUAAAAACAAAAUCCUAAUAUAAAACAUGGUGAUGAAUAAUAAUCCAAUUUGAUAAUAAUCCAAUUUAAUGAAUAAUCCACCAAUUUGAUAAUAAUCCAAUUUAAUGAAUAAUCCACCAAUUUGAUAAAAAAAAAUAAUCCUAAUAUAAAACAUGGUGAUGAAUAAUAAUCCAAUUUGAUAAUAAUAAUCCAAUUUGAUAAUAAUCCAAUUUGAUAAUAAUCCAAUGUAAUGAAUAAUCCACCAAUUUGAUAAAAAAAAAUCCUAAUAUAAAACAUGGUGAUGAAUAAUAAUCCAAUUUAAUGAAUAAUAAUCCAAUUUGAUAAUAAUCCAAUUUAAUGAAUAAUCCACCAAUUUGAUAAAAAAAAUAAUCCUAAAUAUAAAACAUGGUGAUGAAUAAUAAUCCAAUUUGAUAAUAAUCCAAUUUAAUGAAUAAUCCACCAAUUUGAUAAAAAAAAUAAUCCUAAUAUAAAACAUGGUGAUGAAUAAUAAUCCAAUUUGAUAAUAAUCCAAUUUAAUGAAUAAUCCACCAAUUUGAUAAAAAAAAUAAUCCUAAUAUAAAACAUGGUGAUGAAUAAUAAUCCAAUUUGAUAAUAAUAAUCCAAUUUAAUGAAUAAUCCACCAAUUUGAUAAAAAAAAAUAAUCCUAAUAUAAAACAUGGUGAUUAAUAAUAAUCCAAUUUAAUGAAUAAUAAUCCAAUUUGAUAAUAAUCCAAUUUAAUGAAUAAUCCACCAAUUUGAUAAAAAAAUUUCCUAAUAUAAAAGAAUAAUAAUCCAAUUUGAUAAUAAAAAAACCUAAUAUUAAUGAAUAAUAAUCCAAUUUGAUAAUAAAAAAAUCUAAUAUUAAAGAAUAAUAAUCCAAUUUGAUAAUAAAAAAAACCUAAUAUUAAUGAAUAAUAAUCCAAUUUGAUAAUGAAAAUGGUAAGGAAAAUAAAAUAAUAAAUAAUAUUAAACAUAUUAAAAUUAUCCUAGGGAAUAAUUAUACAACAUUACUUAAUUACUUAAAACAAUUAACAUUAACAUUACUUAAUUACUUACAAAAAUUAACAUGCAAGUAUUAAUUACUUAAAAAGAUUAACAUACGAGUCCACACAAAUUUAUUUGUUGUUGUAUAAAUUACAAUAAUAUAAAUUUAAGUUUGUAAACUUACCUUAAAUAUGGAAGCCUUUGUGUUCAAGCUUUGGAAUGGAUUUGGAAUGAUUUUGAAAAUGGUAAGGAAAAUAAAAUAAUAAAUAACAUUAAACAUAUUAAAAUUAUCCUAGGGAAUAAUUAUACAACAUUACUUAAUUACUUAAAACAAUUAACAUUAACAUUACUUAAUUACUUACAAAAAUUAACAUGCAAGUAUUAAUUACUUAAAAAAAUUAACAUACGAGUCCACACAAAUUUAUUUGUUGUUGUAUAAAUUACAAUAAUAUAAAUUUAAGUUUGUAAACUUACCUUAAAUAUGGAAGCCUUUGUGUUCAACCUUUGGAAAGGAUCUGGAAUGGUUUUGAAAAUGGUAUGGGAAGAAGAAGAAACGAAAUUUCUGUGAAUGCUUCUGAUACUCCACUGGGUGAAAGAAUGUAAGUAUAUAACAGACAUUGACACUGUUUUGCAUGUGAAAGACUCUUACUGACUGUCACACGAUUUCAUUAUGAAAGCAGUAUUAUUUGUUGUCCAUGUUCUGAAAUUGCAAAAAGUUAUUUGGAUCAUUGGAUCAGAGAGCUAGACAUAGGUUUGGAAUGAUUUGGUUUUGAAUAAUUUGGAGCAUUGGAUGCUUUUUUUUUCUUACACGCCACCACUCAGACAGUAAAAAAGAGUGAGGAACUCACACUCCACCACCACACACACUUCGAGACCCCCCACACCACACCACACACGCACACCACACACGGAGCUCAGUCUCUCUCUCGAUCAUUCAUUUCCCACUACCAUAUUCUCGAAUCCUCUCAAUCUCUCUCUUCUCUCUUCUCUCUCUCUGAGGUCUGAGCCUUCGUUCUCAUUGAGAACUUCUCAGUCUUCUCCCUCCCUUACCCCUUCUCCAGUUCUUCCACACACACACAGAGACAUCAUCUCUCGAAUCUCGAUCCAUCUCUCGAUCCUUCUCGUCCGUGUCUCCGUGUCUCCCUCUGCUCCUCCCAUAUCACCCGCCCUAAACCCAGCCGUCAACACCACUCGAUAACCGCCUUCUAAACCACCUUGAUCCAUGGAGAUCGACCGGAAAUCAUCGUAGUCCCAGCCGUCGACACCACUGAGGAGCACGACGUUGUCCCAGCCGUCUUGGAUUCGUGAGGAAGACGUGUUCCCAGGCUCCUACUUCUCUUCUUCUCGGCUUUUACUUUAAAUUUUUGUACAGAUUUCAAUUUUUCUGCAUGUUGCACCUUUGUUGUACUGAAAUCGAUUUUAGGGAUUUAGGAAUUAGGGUUUCUAUUUUUGUACAUAUUGCGAUUUUUCUGCAUGUUGCUUGAUUUUUGUACUGAAAUCGAUUUUAGGGAUUUAGGAAUUAGGGAUUCAGUUCAUUUGCUUUGAAUUCGAAUUUGGGGAUUUAGGGAUUCGGUUAAUUUGCUCCGGCGUUCUUCUCGGCUUGUAAAUUACAAUUUUUGUACAAAUUGCGAUUUUUCUGCAUGUUGAUUUUUGUACUGAAAUCGAUUUUAGGGAUUCCUGUAUUGUAGAUUCAGUUCAUUUGCUUUGAAUUAGAAUUUUGGGAUUUAGGGGUUUGGAUUAUUUGCUCCGGCUGUGUUCUCCGAUGAGUCCAUACCAAAUAUCGCGAUAGUUUCGAAAAUAUCGCGAUAUUAUCGAUAUUAUCGAUAAUAUCGCGAUAUUCUGCCGAAAACAAGUUGGAUAGUUAAUAAAAUAUCGGGGUCCCAAAAAAACGAUAAUAUCGGCGAUAUUUCACCGAUAUUAUCGAUAUUUUCUUCACUGGAUGUGACUCAAAUUUUGAAUAUUCGAGCUGCCUACGUAUCCCUCCAAAGAAGAGAUCAAGUCGUAACGUAGUUCAAAUACAUACAUAUUUUUUUUUGGUACUUUCUUUUUGUGCCGUUUGCAAUUUUAACUCAUGCAGGCAAGGAGUGUUGGUGUCGUUUGCAGUUUUAACUCGUGCAGACAAUGAGCAUUUGGUGCCGUGUUGCAGUUUCAACUCGUGCAGGCAAGGAGCGUUGGUGUUGCCUUUUAUGCUCGUGCACACCAGGAGCGUUUGGUGCCGUGUUGCAGUUUCAGCUCGUGCAGGCAAGGAGCUUCGUGUCCUACAGUUUAGGCUCGUGCGGACAAGGAGCUUUUGGUUCGUGCAGUUUAGGCUCGUGCGAACAAGGAGCAUUGUGUCUUGCAGUUUAGGCUCUUACAGACAAGGAGCUUUGGUGAAUUUGUCAAGCAAUUUUGGAGAGGCGUUCCUCACAAUCUUCAUAGCAAGGAGCCUUGACCGAGUGAUUGAAGAGGUCUUCGGGUAAGAAAUCACGCAUCGUGAUGGGGAUGGGUGAUCUAUAUGUCGAAAUUUCAUCAUCUUCAACACGUUCACGUUGCUUUGAAGGUUGACAAGAGAUGCUUUGCCCCCUUUCCGAUUGGCGGACUUGUGGAGGAGACGUAUGCUUCUUGUGCAAUUUCUUAUGAGUGACUUGAGUCCAUCCUUCAACUUUGCUUGUCUUGGAGGAUGCCCCCAAUGGUUGAGGUGAAAACUUUGAGUCGGAAGAGCCAAAAGUGAUGGUGGUAUAGUUUGACUUCACCACAUCAUCAAGAUCUAGCUCGAUGAUUCCUUUCUAAGCCAGCUUCAUGAUGAGAUCUUUCAGCACGAAGCAUUUUUCUGUCGGAUGACUGAUAAAGCGGUGGAAUUUACAGUAUCUUGGACUGUCGGUACGAUUCAUCUCUUCCGGCCGUCUGCACUCAGGUAAACCGAUCACCUUCUUGUCCAACAGGUCAUCCAGCAUGGCAACCACAUCAGAGUCGGGGAAUGGAUAAGUCUUCUCCUCAAGCUCCUUCAAAGUGCGUCUACGCAUCUCUUGAUCACGAAAAGCUUCGACUUGAAUCGCCUUGCCUCGUGUAGAGAUUUUGACGGGAGAUGUGUUGACCGUCAUCGCUUCCUUGGUGGGUUUCCAUGCAGCCUUCUCCACCUUUGUCUCAAGAACUUUGUCGUUCUUGUAGUCGGCGAUCGGUUCUUUCUUCCUAUGAUAGGCGAUGCUCAACUCCAUGUCAUGGGCGCGAGUGGCCAAUUCCUCGAAAGUCCGUGGUUUAAUGCCUUGGAUGAUGUAUUGCAAACCCCAUUGCAUGCCUUGGAUGCACAUCUCGAUUGAAGAGGUUUUCGAGAGCCUGUCUUUACAGUCGAGGCUUAGAGUGCGCCAUCUGUUGAUGUAGUCAAUGAUUGGCUCGUCCUUCCACUGCUUUGUGCUCGUUAGCUCUAGCAUGCUCACAGUGCGGCGUGUGCUGUAGAAGCGAUUAAGGAAUUCCCGUUCUAAUUGCUCCCAGCUGUUGAUGGACUCAGGCUCUAGGUCCGUGUACCACUCAAAGGCGUUUCCUUUCAGCGAGCGCACAAAUUGCUUGGCGAGGUAGUCUCCAUCUGUCCCCGUGUUGUUGCAAGUUUCGACGAAAUGUGCAACGUGCUGCUUUGGGUUUCCUUUUCCAUCAAACUGCAUGAACUUUGGUGGUUGAUAACCCCUUGGCAUCCUUAGGGCAUCAAUCUUCUUGGAAUAGGGCUUCGAGUAGAACAAGGAGGUAUGUGAGCUCCCUUCGUACUGUGCCUUGAUGGUGUUGGUGAUCAUCUCCUGCAGUUGCUGGAUAGAAAGAGAUCCCAUGAGUGCCGCUGCUUGGUCUGGCUCCGGCUUCCCAUCGAUUUUCUUCACCAGGGGUUCUUCGUCCCCGCCAGCUCCUCCCUUUAGUGGAUCAUCCUCUGGGUCGGGUUUAUCGCCGUCAUGCGCCUCCAGUCGGUUGACUAGUGCUGCAAUUUGCAAGUCUUUUUCUUCCACAGUUCGGGUUAGCCUUGCGAUUGCUUCAUUCAUUUGAGCCAGCUGCUCAUCGAUUGAAGUUGCUCCAAUGGUCAUGACUUGCAUGGCUGAACUGUCGCUUGAAUCGGCAUCAGAGAGCAUGGAUUCGGAGUAUUUCCUUGGGCUUUCCCCCCUUGGUGCCCUUAGUAGGCUAAGGUGAUCAAAGGCUCGUGCCUUGGGUGCUUUUGUUCCCUUGGCAGAGUUGAUGCAGAGGUGAAAGAGGCAGCAGAAGUAGAUCUUGCCAUGCUUCGAGUCGUGAUGCCCAAAGUGACACCAGUUGCGACGAGGACGCUUUUGUUCUUUGCGUCGGUUGCGGGAACAGUUUGAGCCUUCCUUGAUGCCAUUAAUUUUGGAAGUGCGCUUGAAUUUCUUGAACGGAGAAAGAGAUGAGAGGCAGAGAUGGUCCCACUGGGCGUGCCAAUUUGUGAACACGGAAAAUUCCUGAAACGAAAGAGACAAGAACAACGCGCACAAACAAAUAUUUGUGUUUGAUAAUUUUGGGUUACAAUCUCUCUCUAUUUUGAUCCUCUGAUUCGAUCUCCAUAAGGUGUGUAUUUGUGGAUGUGUGAUUGAUCCAAAGGGCCGUUGGGCUUGAUCUAAGGAUGAACGUUCUUCAAGGGCCGUGGACUUGAUCUUGAAGGUGGAUUUGAGCGGAUCUUCAAGGAGCCGUUGGGGCUUGAUCUUGAGUAACGGUGAUGAACGGAUCUUCAAGGGCUUUUGGGCUUAAUCUUGAAGAAACAGUGAUGAACUGAUCUUCAAGGGCUUUUGGGCUUAAUCUUGAAGAACGGUUGGAUGUGUGUGGAUUUGUCGACGUUUGUUGAUCCAAAGGGCCGUUGGGGCUUGAGCUUGGAUGAACGGAUGAUGAACGAUGGUGCUUUCUUCAAAGGCCGUCGGGGCUUGAUCUUGAAUUGGUGGAUGGUUGAUCCAAGGGACCGUUGGGGCUUGAUCUUGGAAGAACGAUGAACGAAGAACGAGGAACACUUUCUUCAAGGGCUGUCGGGGCUUGAUCUUGAAUUGGUGGAUGAUUGUUGAUCCAAAGGGCCGUUGGGGCUUGAUCUUAGGAUGAACGAUGAACGAAGAACGCUUUCUUGAUUCUUCGGGAACCUGGAUGCUUGAGAGCUUCGAAGUUUCAGAGCUUCAGGGCUUCAAGAGUUUUGCCUAAUGAUUUUGGUUCCCCCCAAAUGAAUGAAAUGGGCUUGUAUUUAUAGAAAUUUCCAAGGCCUAAUUUUGAAUAUAAUAUUCCAGAUGAAAUAAGUCGUUUCUGCCAGGUGUUGACACGUGUCCUAUUUGAUGACUUUUCCAACUCAUUUCAAUUUUCGUUGAGUCACACGCUACGUGUAAAAUUUAUGUAAUACAUGAGCGUUGAAACUUUGAUUUAUCGGUCAACAUUUAUUUACCGAAAUUUCGAUGUCUACAGCAGUACCUCGACAAUCCCAAUGGUAAACAUGAUCGCAAGACGAGAGUUCACGCCACAAACUAUGUCAUGUAUCAGAGCGAGUUAUACCGAAAAGGCGAAGAUGGUUUGUUAUUGCUAUGCCUCGGCCCCCAAGAGAGUGUUCGGGCGAUUACAGAAGUCCAUGAAGGGAUAUGCGGAGCUCAUCAAUCCGGACGGAAAAUGCGAUGACUACUUCGACGGCACGGCUAUUUUUGGCCAAGGAUACUAAAGGAUUGUAUCGAGUUUGCACGAGGAUGUGUACAAUGCCAAAUCCACGGGCCUAUACAAAGGGUCCUGGCCGAAUCUUUGCAUUCGGUCAUAAAGCCAUGGCCGUUUCGAGGAUGGGCCAUGGACGUAAUCGGCAAAAUCACGCCGUCUUCUGGAGCCGCUAAGCACGCAUGGGUAAUAGUCGCAACUGAUUACUUUACUAAGUGGGUCGAAGCGAAAUCAUACGCCGAACUAACAUCUAAAGAAGUUUGCGAUUUCAUGGAGGAACACAUCGUGACCAGAUUUGUCGUACCAGAAACGAUCAUAACUGACAAUGGAACAAUCUUCACAGCCGAGAGGUUUAAAGAGUAUACGGCAAAUUUAAAAAUUCGGCUCGAACAGUCUACACCGUAUUAUCCACAGGCGAAUGGGCAGGCCGAGGCAAGUAAUAAAGUGUUGAUCGGCAUCCUCGAAAAAAUGAUAAAAGAAAGGCCUGACAUGUGGCAUUUGAAGUUGAACGAGGCAUUAUGGGCAUAUCGAACAUCGCCCCGAUCGGCGACUGCGACAACCCCGUAUGCAUUAACCUACGGACACGAUGUAAUGUUACCAGUCGAGUUAAGCAUAAAUUCGUUGCGAUUAAUCGAACAAAGUAGUUUGUUUAGCGCCGAAUAUAAUCAGUCCAUGAGACAGGAACUCGAAGAUUUGGAAGAAGUACGACUUGACGCUUAUAACUUACUGGUGGCACAAAAACGGAUUGCCGAGCGAGCCUAUAAUCAAAAGGUACGACAGAAAACAUUCGGCGAGGGUGAAUUAGUGUGGCAAACGGUGUUACCCGUAGGACUAAAAGACCCUAGAUUCGGCAAGUGGUCGCCAAAUUGGGAAGGACCGUUCGUUGUGCAUAAAGUAUACGGAAAAUGGGCGUAUCAUCUUAAAGACCGGACCAGUUUGGUUCACAGAUUGCCGAUCAACGGGAAGUUUUUAAAAAAAUACUACCCGGUCACGUGGGAAAUGCGGGAAUAGAAAAUUAAUUUAUUAAUGUGCAAGACGACUGAAUUGAUCGUUUUUACAUCCAAGUGCCUUUAAGGCGAAGAGGGUAGGAGGGUGCCGAGCAGGGCCUUCAACUCCAACCACCGCACCUCGGCCAUGAUAACUUCAGCUUGCCGAUUCCUCUUGUCCAGCUUCAACCGCUCGACCCGUUUUGUGGUCGCCGCGUACUCAGUUAGGCAAUCCUUUCCGCCCGAUUCGAAGUCUUUAGCAAGCUCGGAAGCAAUGGCCGACCGACGUUUUGCUAGUUCGGCCAUCUGACGGUCGAGCUCGGCUAAGGCGUCUCCUUUUGCCCUUAGAUCGUCGAUUUUCGGACGGAGAGUGUCUUGAACGGUCGUGGUAGCUUACAGGUCGUGUUCGGCCUUUAGAGCGGUCUGGAAGAUACUAAAUGUCUCCCGAACCCGUUCCAAGGCAGACGAUGCCCGAACGAUGGCAUCUCCGCUCAGGCGACCGUCGGCUCCAAGGUCGUUCAGACAUACGCCAAGCAGAUCAAGACCGUUGUGCUUGAGUACUUGCGACGUUGAAAGCGACAAGACUUCUCGCAACUGAGUCAGAGCGCUUGGAUCGGCAGCUUCAGUCGUAGCGGCCGAAGGACCGGACUCUGCAGUUGUGCUGGAGAUGAGGGCUUUGAAUUCGACCUCCCACGAAGCCUGCACAUACAAAUCAGGUUAAGCUUAAAAGAAGUCAUGACAAGAAUAGCAAGAAGGUUUCAUUUUUUAACCUGCCGAGAGGAGACCUCGGCCAUAUCUCCAGGAUUGUUGCUCGAACCUAAAGAACUCAAUGGCCGAGCCCAGUGUCUCAGGGUGCUUCUCAGUUCACGCGGCCGAUGGAGGUUAUCUACGUUUGAUGGCCACUGAGGCGACCAAGAAAUAUAGAUAACGCCCUUCGGUGCGUAGAAUUUUCGAUGAAAAGAGUGUACAGGCACCUGACAUUUAGUAUUUUCUUCGUUUAGAAUUCUAAAGUAGAAAAGCAAUCAAGGAAAGACGGUAGAAGGUACUUACGAAGGCCGAAGUAACCUCCUGCGGAGGAAUGUAGAAGCCCUGGUCUUGAGGAUGAACGGGCGACUCCGCCGUUGCCUCGGGUUCCUCGGCCGGUCGUUUGCCACGGUCGGCUAUGGAGGGGCCGACCGGGACAGCCGCUUCGGAUGAGGCAGGGACAUCCUGGUCCUGAGAAUGAGCGAGGGGUUCGGCCACAGCUGUUGGUUCCUCGAUCGGACGCUUGCCACGAUCAGCCGUGGAGGGGCCGGCUGGAACCACCAUCUCGGAGAUCGGAGGAGGUUGUCGGCGAGUAUGAGGACGAUUUUGCAAGUGGGACCUCAUCGCUCCCCUCACUCUCUUCCAGAAUGAAGACCGAGGGCUUUGGAUUUUUAGGGGAAGUUCCCUCGGUCACAGAAACCGCCUUUUUCGGAACAGGUGCCUCCUCGACAGAGGGAGGCACAACUGGUGUACCAGCCCCAGAAACAGGCCGCGUUUGAACUGUUUCUACGGCCGGAGCUGGCGGUUUCUCGACCAAGGGUUGACCGACAACAGGAGAAUGGGAAACACUGGGAGUCGUCGCCCCUAUAGUUUGACUGGAGAUGAUGUGGAUCUCCCGUGCGCCCUUCUUUGCCAGCUGUUUUACCCGCUUGGCAGGCGGCGGAGGUUCGACGGCCGGCUCGGCCUCUUGGCGAGGCCGUUUGGUCAGCGCGGCCCGACCAGCAGUUUUGUCCUUCUUAGUUACGACCAAUUUUUUCUCGGCCGUAGCCACGGCAACUGCCUCCGUUUUUCUCAAAGGGUGACUACCUGAGAAGAUAAAAGCAAUUCAGUAAAGCAAAUCAAUAUGCAAAGUUAAAAAAAAAAAAAAAAAAAAUUGAACAGGUACCUGGAGCUUGGGGGGCCGGGGCCUUCUUAGGUCGAUCACUGAAGAGUUUCCCCAACACAUCUUCGACCGGAGCACCAAAGAACUCCUGGGUGUAAUUUUCCCACCAAUCACCGAAGGUGUCAGUGCAAAGGGUUUCUGGGGUGGCCGGUCGAAGGCGGAAUUUUUGGCAGUGCUCUUGGAACUCCCUCGCAGCAGUUUUACAUUCCUUCUCCGAGGAACGAGGUUCACGUCCACGGCUUAGGACUGUUCGGGAGGAGAGAAGGGGAACCAAGCAGCCCUGGAGGUAGCCGAGCUGUCGAGCAAGGAAGUUCGGGUGGUACACUUCCCAACCCGAUCGUUUUCCAUCGCAGCCGAGAGGGAGGUCGCGAGUGAGCACAAACGACCCCCAGGUCUGAUGAAGAUCGGCAUCCUCCCCCGCGCCCCACAUGGAGGUAGGCAGUCUGAUGGAGGAAGGAUAGUCUCGACGACGACAUAUCAGGAAUUCGUCGUUCGAAAGGUCAUCAAGAGCGAAGAGGUACCGAAAUACCUCUUCGGCUUGAUGAUGAGGUGUUGGUCGGGAGGCCAGCUGAGGUCCAAGCGCCUCUGUUGGCGAGAAGUCAGCUAUAGCCGGCCGAAGGGAAACGAAGUAAACUUGUAACAAGAGUUGGAAGACCCAGAGGGGACCAUUCUGGUGUGGGUCAAUCUUGUGGAGGGUCGCCUCAGCCAUGCAACGGAAGAGAUGGGCGAGAAUGUUGGAGCUCAGUGCCAGGACGUGACCACUAGCCAGGGCCUCGGCUACCGGCAUGUUCUCGACCAAGCAUUUGUUUGACUUGGUACAACAAAUGUACUUGUUGUACCAAUAGAAGAGGAACGCUUCAUGUUCCCCUUCUCGCAGGUCCUCUUCUCCUCGGCCGGCGAAAUGGAGAUAGAGGGUGUUGUAAUUGAAGAAGUUCUUGUGGAGCUUCUGAAUGUCUUCUUUCGACGGGAUUUGACCUUCACGAUUCAACGUCUCGAAAGCCUGUCGAUCAAAAAGCGUCUUCAGGUCGAUAUUCGACGGGUACCCAGAGAGGGCCGCGUCGAUAGGGAUCCCAGUUGCCGAAGUGCCCAGAAUGGCGGUAACAUCAAGAAUGGUGGGACCGAUGGGCCCAAAAUAAUAGUUUAGGCCGAUGGUAGGAUCAUUCUCGGCCUGGGAGGCCGUACGGCGAAAGGGCCAUGGAUCGUUCAGCUCAAGGGCUUCCAAGCCUAGGUCGGUUAAAUCAGAACGCAAGACGAGUCCUAGUACAACAGGGAGUCUUGACGGGAUCAGUAAUCCAGAAAGUGAAUCCGGCUCAGUUAAAGACUAGGUUCGUAGUCCUAGUGAAGAUAGGACUGGUUGAGGUGAUGUUGAUCCGAAGAGGGAAACCUAGUCCGAGUAGGAUUUUAGCUCGGACUCAAGGUCCAGUGCUAUAAAUAAGGGAAGCUGUGCAUCAAGGAGGGCCCUGCAAAUCAAUACAAAAUUGCCCUGCGCAAAUUCUCACAACUUGUGAUUUUUCUUUUUCCUUUUUCGCUGACACAUCUUCCGUUGGCAUCAACAGCACUGUGGAAGCAACCGGUGAUAUCUUAAGUCGGCAUAGAUAGCUCUGUCACCGUAGAAUCAGUCGGUCUCGCAGUAUCUUCCAUUGGCAUCAACAGCACUGCGGCGAGAACGAUUGGUUACCUAUCCGAGUCUCGGUCGAGAAGGAUUUCUGAAUCCUUAUUGGCCGAGGUCAUCUCAUCAGCCUCCUCGGCGAAGUGAGGUGUUACAAGUGAUUACAUUCGGCACGUUAAAAGUCGAAUUUGAUAUUGAACUUCGUAAAAAUAGUUCAAUAUCAAAUUCAGCUUUCAACAACGUGCCGAAUUUGAUAUUGAACUAUUUUUACGAAGUUCAAUAUCAAAUUCGGCUUUUAACGUGCCGAAUGUAAUCACUUGUAACACCUCACUUCGCCGAGGAGGCUGAUGAGAUGACCUCGGCCGAGACGUGUUCCUUUCUCGACCGCAAUCGCAAGACGCAGAAGUCAACCGCGCACCCAACGCAACAUCAACAAAUUUACUCCUCGGUCGAGCUCGGCCGACGAGUUGGCACGCCCCGCAAUCACCGAAGGACGUAGUUAGCUUAUAGAUUACUCGGCCUGCGCGCCACGUAGGCUUGGUAGUUUCUAGGGUCAACAAAAAACACAAUCACUCUACUUUAGUCUAGUAAAGUAUUAGCUGGUGCUCUAGUAAAGCUUGUGUCGUGUGGACCCGUAAGAAAACGCAAUUACAACAACCAUGGGAUUGGUUUGUGUCUUCCACUAAUGGCGGGAUUUGAUUUCUUGAGAUUUGGAUCCUCUCCUGAGCCCAAUGAGAGGAUCCUCCUGACGAACACACGUGGGCUGUUGGAUUUUUAUCCAACAGCUACAAACAAAUGGAUCUUUUUAGAGUUAUAAUAAUUAUAAUCGUUGGAUGAAAAUCCAACUUUCCACAUGUGUUGGUCAGAGGAUCCUCUCCUGGGACUCGAGAGAGGAUCCAAAUCCGAUUUCCAGCACAUGUUCUCUCCCAUUCGCUGGGCCCACACACUGCUAUAUACCCGCCAUUUGCGUAUUUGUACACCCAGCGCUGGACGUUUCUACACCCAGCACUUCCAAAUAGAAGUAACCAGUCCAAUUUUAGUGGUAUCUUCACUACUAAUUUAUGCAUCGAUCCUCACAUUUAUUGCGUAAUUAAUAACUAAUAAUUAUAUAUUGUAUUGUUGUCUAUGUUUGAGCAGUUGAGAAAAUUAAUCUACUUCAACUUCUGAAGUUUUCUUUCAGCUGAGAAAAUAUAGAACUACUCCAAUUUCUAGUUUCAAAAUGAGGGUUGAGAAAUAAAAACAGAUAAUAAUAAUGGGGCAAAAGACUGUUUACUACCUUCAUGUUUCGUGGUUUUCAAUAUUUAGUAUAUCAAGUUUUUUUCAUCCCAAAAUCAUACCUAAAGUGUAAAUUUUGGGACAAUCUCAUACAUCCAUUAGUCAAAUUGUUAAGUCUCCCGUUAACUGUGACGUGGCGCCCAUGUGGACAAUGACUGGGCGCCACGUGGAAAUUAAAAAUUAAAAAAAAAACUCAAAAUUUCAAAAUUCAAAACCACCUUCCCAUUCCUCCUCUACAACACCAAUUCUUCUUCCAAUCCGCCAACCCCACCACCACCAUGUCCCAAAAAUCCAAAUCACGAUGCAAAAACGCAAAACUCAAACAAAGCCCAGCACCUCCAAUCUAAAACCCGACCCCUCAAAACCCUAACCCACAUCGCCGUUAAGUACAUCGGCGCCGUAGCCUCAGUCUAGGCCUCCUACGCCGCCAUGGCCAAGCUCAUCAACACGAACGUCUUCGACUUCGCCAACGCCUUUCCCUUCAUCUUCCCCCACCUUCUCUAAAUUUACCAUUUCUCCAGUCCUCCAUGGAACGCUCUCAGGCGUGAAUCGUCACUACCAGAAGAGGGUUGACGCGGAAGCACGAAUAAGACUUCAGAGAUGAAAUGAUCGAGGGAGAACUGGAUCGGAAAGUUCAAGCCGUCGUCGAAACGCGGGACGAUCGCCCAGAUCUCGUCGGUGGGUUUGCGAGCAGGUCCGGAUUCUGGAGUCCAUAUUCUCAUCCGCGUAACCCGACCGCCCAUGGCCUCGCUCUCACCGCCAAAGAAGGUAGCAUGCUCGCUGUUGUCUUUUAUUUUGGCCAGUGUUCUUGGAGUUAACUGUUUGUUCAUCUUUAAUCUGAGCGAAAUCUUGUGAGAUUGUUUGGGGCUUAGGUUUUUUUUGGUAAUUUGUAUGCAGAUGAGCUUGUGGACAUUGUGGUGGACUGUGGAGCAGUUCCAGCGCUUGUUAAGCAUCUGUAGGUGCCUCCGCCGGCCACAGACAACCGAAAAAGCCCGAUCCCGUACGAGCACGAGGUCGAGAAGAUGGUGGAGGGAUGGAGGGCGAGGGAAGACGAAAAGGUUAUGGGUGUGUGUGGAUGAGGGAGAAGACGACUGUUUUUUGUUUGUUUUUUUUUUAAUUAUUUUUUUAAUAUUAAAGUGGCCCUAUAUUGACACGUGGCGCCCAGUAAUUGUUCGUGUAGGCGCCACGUCAUCAGUUAACAGAAAUUCUAACGGAAAACUUAACGGAUGUAUGAGACUGUCCCAAAAUUAAGACUUUAGGUAUGACUCUGGGACAAAAAAAACUUCAUGUAUUAAAUGUUGAAAACCACGAAACUUUAGAUUAGUAAACAGAGUUUAACCCAUAAUAUUGCUACUCCUUUGCCAAAUGUCUUCAUCUCAUAAGGUGUAAGAUGAACAGCUAAGAUUGCUUUGAUGUAAAGCUUGAAUACUGCCAAAACUAUGUAACCAUUAGAAGACUACCAAUAACAUUGUAUGCUAAAAGUAAAGGGAUGAUGAGAUAUCAUAACGUUCAUUUAUGUUGAUAAUAUAAUCUACACUUGGAGCUGCCAAGAAUUAAUAAAUGAAUUUAAAUUGGUUUCUAGAAUCUACAGUAAAAGUAGAAGGGAUGAUGAGAUAUUAUUAUUAUUAUAGAUUGGUUUCUAGAAUUUUAGUUUAUUUAUCAGAUGCUAUGAAAUUAGCCUGAGGGCCAUUAUCCAAAUGGAAGCAAGCACUCUAAAGGCUCUCCAUUUUUAAUGUCCUUCUCAGAGGGCAUAGCCUAAAAAUAAAAGUUUUAGGGUAAAUUUAAAAAAACUCUAAUAAUCUCACACAAUUCGAAUACUUUUUUCUCCAUCUCACAACUUUCUCUUGGAGUCAAAAUCUCAUGCCCCCUAAGUAUUGGAAUUCUUGAUUCUCAUGAGUAUAAUUAUUGAUUUUGAGUGGACUCCGCCUAUUUUUUCAUUCUUAAAAUGUUAUUAAAUGAUCAAACUGCAAAAUCAUUUUAGAAAUAAUCCAAUUCCUUUUUUUUUUCACUCCCAUUCCACUUUUUUUUUUUUUUUUUGGAGAAUUGCAUAAUAGCAUAAUCAGGGCCGAAGCCAGAGAAGUACAGAAAGCCACCACUGGCCAACACGAAAAAAUCUCAAAUAUACCAUUCCGAAUAAAUCUCAAAUUUAAAUUUUGGUUCUCCAAUUAAUUAAACAAAAUUAUAACUAACUUUUUCACAAGUUCUGAAUGGUUACAAUCAGACAAUGAGUAAUGAGGAAAUUUAAGGCUAAAACCCUUUAUUAUGGGAACAAAGAAAGUCAUAAAUUGGGUCCAUUUGGAAUGAGGAAAUUUCCAACCUCAAUCCAAUAUCGAUUACAAUCAGACAAUGAGAAUCCAAGGGGAUCCUCAUCCGUACUUUUUAAUACUUUAUUCACUGAUCCUUACAAAUUAUAUUAUUAAAUUUAGUAUACUAUGAAAUUUCUUUUAUUGUAUCCCCAUCAUUCUACUUUAGUCUAGUGGCAUAAUAAAGUAAAACAUAAUCAUCCACUUUAAGAUAAAUUUUUAGUUGUGACAGAAAUACAAGUGGUACACCACGUGUUUUAAUAGGAGUGGCAAGAAAUAUUAUUUUCUAAGUUAUUAACUUUUUAACACACAUAUCCCACCAUUUAUAUAGAGACACAUGGUGUAUUACCUGUGUACCAGUCAUACUGAAAAACCUCUCUCAUACUUUAAGGGAUUUGAUUUCCUUCUCUCUCCCACUUCCUGGGUCCACACGCUACUAUAUAUUGUAUUGUAGUUUAUGUUUAAGCAACUAAGAAAAUUAGAUCUACUCCAAUUUCUAGUUUCGGGUUGAGAAAAAAACAAAUAAUGAUAAUACUACUCUUUUUGUAAGUGUCUUCAUCUCAUAAGGUGUAAGAUGAAAUACUAAUAUUACUUUAAUGUAAGCUUGAUUAUUGCCAAAACUAUAUAAUCGUUGAAAGAGUACUAGUGAAGCAACAUUUUACACUAAAAGUAAAGGGGGAUGAUGAGAUAUCAUACUGUCCAUUUAUGUUGAUGAUAUAAUCUACACCAGUGAAGAAAAUAUCGAUAAUAUCGGCGAAAUAUCGUCGAUAUUAUCGUUUUUUUUGGACCCCGAUAUUUUAUUAACUAUCCAACUUGUUUUCAGCAGAAUAUCGCGAUAUUAUCGAUAAUAUCGCGAUAUUUUCGAAACUAUCGCGAUAUUUUCGAAACUAUCGCGAUAUUUGGUAUGGACUCAUCGGAGAACACAGCCGGAGCAAAUAAUCUGAACCCCUAAAUCCCCAAAUUCUAAUUCAAAGCAAAUGAACUGAAUCUACAAUACAGGAAUCCCUAAAAUCGAUUUCAGUACAAAAAUCAACAUGCAGAAAAAAUCGCAAUUUGUACAAAAAUUGUAAUUUACAAGCCGAGAAGAACGCCGGAGCAAAUUAACCGAAUCCCUAAAUCCCCAAAUUCGAAUUCAAAGCAGAUGAACUGAAUCCCUAAUUCCUAAAUCCCUAAAAUCGAUUUCAGUACAAAAAUCAAGCAACAUGCAGAAAAAUCGCAAUCUGUACAAAAAUAGAAACCCUAAUUCCUAAAUCCCUAAAAUCGAUUUCAGUACAACAAAGGUGCAACAUGCACAAAAAUUGAAAUCUGUACAAAAAAAUUAAAGUAAAAGCCGAGAAGAAGAGAAGUAGGAGCCUGGGAACAUCGUCUUCCUCACGAAUCCAAGACGGCUGGGACAACGUCGUGCUCCUCAGUGGUGUCGACGGCUGGGACUACGAUGAUUUCCGGUCGAUCUCCAUGGAUCAAGGUGGUUUAGAAGGCGGUUAUCGAGUGGUGUCGACGGCUGGGUUUAGGGCGGGUGAGAUGGGAGGAGCAGAGGGAGACACGGAGACACGGACAAGGAGGAUCGAGAUUCGAGAGAUGAUGUCUCUGUGUGUGUGGAAGAACUGGAGAAGGGGGAAGGGAGGGAGAAGAUUGAGAAGUUCUCUCAGUGAGAACGAAGGCUCAGACCUCAGAGAGAGAGAAUAGAGAAGAGAGAGAUUGAGAGGAUUCGAGAAUAUGGUAGUGGGAAAUGAAUGAUCGAGAGAGAGACUGAGCUCCGUGUGUGGUGUGCGUGUGUGGUGUGGUGUGGGGGGUCUCGAAGUGUGUGUGUGGUGGAGUGUGAGUUCUUCACUCUUUUUGACUGUCUGAGUGGUGGCGUGUAAGAAAAAAAAAGCAUCCAAUGCUCCAAAUUAUUCAAAACCAAAUCAUUCCAAACCUAUGUCUAGCUCUCUGAUCCAAUGAUCCAAAUAACUUUUUGCAAUUUCAGAACAUGGACAACAAAUAAUACUGCUUUCAUAAUGAAAUCGUGUGACAGUCAGUAAGAGUCUUUCACAUGCAAAAACAGUGUCAAUGUCUGUUAUAUACUUACAUUCUUUCACCCAGUGGAGUAUCAGAAGCAUUCACAGAAAUUUCGUUUCUUCUUCUUCCCAUACCAUUUUCAAAACCAUUCCAGAUCCUUUCCAAAGGUUGAACACAAAGGCUUCCAUAUUUAAGGUAAGUUUACAAACUUAAAUUUAUAUUAUUGUAAUUUAUACAACAACAAAUAAAUUUGUGUGGACUCGUAUGUUAAUUUUUUUAAGUAAUUAAUAUUUGCAUGUUAAUUUUUGUAAGUAAUUAAGUAAUGUUAAUGUUAAUUGUUUUAAGUAAUUAAGUAAUGUUGUAUAAUUAUUCCCUAGGAUAAUUUUAAUAUGUUUAAUGUUAUUUAUUAUUUUAUUUUCCUUACCAUUUUCAAAAUCAUUCCAGAUCCAUUCCAAAGCUUGAACACAAAGGCUUCCAUAUUUAAGGUAAGUUUACAAACUUAAAUUUAUAUUAUUGUAAUUUAUACAACAACAAAUAAAUUUGUGUGGACUCGUAUGUUAAUCUUUUUAAGUAAUUAAUACUUGCAUGUUAAUUUUUGUAAGUAAUUAAGUAAUGUUAAUGUUAAUUGUUUUAAGUAAUUAAGUAAUGUUGUAUAAUUAUUCCCUAGGAUAAUUUUAAUAUGUUUAAUAUUAUUUAUUAUUUUAUUUCCCUUACCAUUUUCAUUAUCAAAUUGGAUUAUUAUUCAUUAAUAUUAGGUUUUUUUAUUAUCAAAUUGGAUUAUUAUUCUUUAAUAUUAGAUUUUUUUUUUAUUAUCAAAUUGGAUUAUUAUUCAUUAAUAUUAGGUUUUUUAUUAUCAAAUUGGAUUAUUAUUCUUUUAUAUUAGGAAAUUUUUUUAUCAAAUUGGUGGAUUAUUCAUUAAAUUGGAUUAUUAUCAAAUUGGAUUAUUAUUAUCAAAUUGGAUUAUUAUUCAUCACCAUGUUUUAUAUUAGGAUUAUUUUUUUAUCAAAUUGGUGGAUUAUUCAUUAAAUUGGAUUAUUAUCAAAUUGGAUUAUUAUUAUCAAAUUGGAUUAUUAUUCAUCACCAUGUUUUAUAUUAGGAUUUUUUUUUUUAUCAAAUUGGUGGAUUGUUCAUUAAAUUGGAUUAUUAUCAAAUUGGAUUAUUAUUCAUCACCAUGUUUUAUAUUAGGAUUAUUUUUUUUUAUCAAAUUGGUGGAUUAUUCAUUAAAUUGGAUUAUUAUCAAAUUGGAUUAUUAUUCAUCACCAUGUUUUAUAUUAGGAUUUUUUUUUAUCAAAUUGGUGGAUUAUUCAUUAAAUUGGAUUAUUAUCAAAUUAGAUUAUUAUUCAUUAAAUUGGAUUAUUAUUCAUCACCAUGUUUUAUAUUAGGAUUAUUUUUUUAUCAAAUUGGUGGAUUAUUCAUUAAAUUGGAUUAUUAUCAAAUUGGAUUAUUAUCAAAUUGGAUUAUUAUUAUCAAAUUGGAUUAUUAUUCAUCACCAUGUUUUAUAUUAGGAUUUUUUUUAUCAAAUUGGUGGAUUAUUCAUUAAAUUGGAUUAUUAUCAAAUUGGUGGAUUAUUCAUUAAAUCGGAUUAUUAUCAAAUUGGAUUAUUAUUCAUCACCAUGUUUUAUAUUAGGAUUUUUUUUAUCAAAUUGGAUUAUUAUUCAUUAAAUUGAAUUAUUAUCAAAUUGGAUUAUUAUUCAUUAAUAUUAGGUUUUAUUAUUCCAUAUUAUUUGUAUAAUUACUUAAAUUUUUACAAUCAUUUUCUUGACUUUGUAUUUAAUUCUUCUGUAGAAUAACUUUAUUAUUUAGGUUCUCUUAUUUUUAUCAAAAAAUAAUUGUCUAAUUUUCAUGAAAAAUAGAUAUAGGUACGUUUAAGAUGUCCAGUAAACGUGAUCCAGCUUGGGAAUAUGAAGACCCAAUAGACGGAAACAAACAUGGCACAAUUAGCAAAUAUUGUGGUCGGGUAAUGAAGAGUGGCGGAGUGACACGACUGAAGUAUCAUCUUAGUGGAUUAGAUCCAUCAAAAAAUGUCCAACGAUGCGAUAAUGUCCCCCCAGAAGUGAAGGCAUUCAUCAGCACAUUAUUAAAAAAAAAAAACAGCAGAAGGAAAAGAUAACACAGGGAAUGGAAAAUAUUCGAGCUGGGCUACGGGGAGAAGUCUAUGGCCAAGCGGUUGACAGUGAUGAUGAUGACGAUGAGGACGAAUGUAAUGAUGACAUGGGACCUGAAGAACGACGCAGUUUGAAACAAGCAUUACGUGCCUCCAAACAGUCAGCAUGGGAAAGAGAACACCUUCAUAAAAUUCCUAAUAGGGGACAAGGUUCCGGGACAAGUGGUGGUGCACAAAUGAGACGGGGAGGCAGUCUUAGAGAAUCACAACCAACACCACCAAUAGCCCCAAGUUUAUAUAUAAGUCAUCCAACGCACGUCAAAAGAGUGUUUGGAGUUAUUUCAAGGGAGGUAAUGUGAAGGAGGGAAUGGGGCGUCUAAUUAGCAAGUUCUUUAUCUAUGAAAAUGUCCCUGCUGCGAAGGCAUCAUCACAUCAUUUCAAAAAUAUGGUAGUGGGAUGUCAACAGGCCGGUGUUGGAGUACAACCUCCCACUCCCUAUGAGAUAAGAAACAAAUAUUUGGAUAUGGAGUAUAAAGACAUUGGCGAGUAUGUUAACAAGUUGAGGUCAAAGUGGGAAACUAAUGGUUGCACAAUCAUGUGUGACGGAUGGACCGGCCCGACCAGAUUAUCUAUCAUCAACUUCAUGGUAUAUACUCCAAGGGAAAGACAAUUUUUUUUAAGUCUGUUGAUGCUUCAGACCAUAUAAAGAAUUACAAGUAUAUUUACAAAUUAUUGAGGGAUGUAAUCAUGGAGGUGGGAGAGCAUAAUGUUGUCCAAGUCGUGACCGACAACGGUUCUGCAUUUGUCAAAGCUGGAAAAAAGUUAAUGAAGCAUCAUAAUGUGUUUUGGACAUCAUGUGCAGCACAUUGUAUUGAUCUCAUGUUUGAGGCAAUGGGGAAGAGAGAGAAUGUUGCUACUGUGGUCAAAAGAGCUAGAACGAUCACAAAUUAUAUUUACAAUCACGGUUGGUUGUUGGCAAAGAUGCGUGAAUUUUGCAAGAGGAGAAAUUAUUCGUCCAGCUACCACUCGAUUCGCCACCAACUAUAUUGCAUUAAACAACCUACUCAAGAAGAAAGCAGGGUUGAAGCAACUAUUCACUAGUGACGAUUGGGCCAACCACAAUUUCAGCCGCUCAAAUACAGGUCGUAUGGUGGAAAGUAUAGUGCUUGAUCAUGCUUUUUGGACUCAAACAGAACAUGUGUGUCAAGUGUUUGAACCUCUUUACAAAGUUUUACGGAUCGUUGACACAGAAGUGUAUCCUACUAUGGGGGCAGUAUAUGAGUUGAUGCGUGUAGUGAAGGAUGAAUUGGAAAGAAAACAUGGUGCAAGGUGGGUCAUAAAAAUAAUUGAAGACCGAUAGUAUAAAACAUUAUACCACGAUUUGCAUGCAGCAGGUAUAAAUUAUGUCAUAAUUUGCAAUUCAUUUCUUUAGUUGCAUAAGUAUUAUUUCUCUUUAUUAGAGUAUGUGUUUCUUUGAACAGCAUAUUAUUUGAAUCCCCGAUACCAAUACAGACCCGGUGUUGGAGAUGAUGGUGACCUUAUACGUGUUGUACAUAAUGUAUACUCUAAAUUAGACCCUGCAUCACCAGCAGUUGGCCAAUUUGGAAAUGAGGUACACAAUUACUUAAUUUAUAAUAAUUACUUUGUUGGAUUAAACUAACACAAUUUAUUGUAUUCAGCUAACAUGGUUUAAAAAUGCAAGAAGAACAUUUGGAGAACCAACAUCAGUUGCUGCUCGAACAAAUAUGUCUCCUAGUGAGUAUAAACAUAUUUCACUAUAAGUUUAUAAUAGAAUUUUUGCACCCAAGACCAAGAAACACUGGAAUUCCACCUUCUUCCAAUCCUACACAACCACAACAUCGUGCUCAUACUAAUGAUAGCUCUAGUACAAGAUCAGGAGACUCACCUACCACCGGAGGUGGGAAUGAUGAAGGACAUAGUGGAGCUGGAGGUAGUGGAGUUGGAGGUAGUGGUGGUGGAUAUGGAAACUAUUAUGGACCACCACCUCCCGGAUAUAUGAGCCCCUUCACUGGUGAGGCAAACUUCACGCAUGCAACACAGGAUGAUGACCAUGGCAGUAGGCGGGCAGGACCAGGAAUUGGUGCCAUAGGGAAGGACUAUACUCGCAGAGAAAGAGGCAAGGGGAUUUUUGUCAAGUCAAGAAGAUGACUCGUUAUCUAGAACUUCAGACUCUGUUGGAUUGGGAAGUAGUAACUAUGGUUAUACUCAUAACCAACCAUUUCCCUACCCUUCAUAUCCCAUUCCUGUUGGGAUAGAAUCGAGCGACUCAUGGAAACAAUCCCAGCCUCAAUCUUCAAAUGAUUUUUCUUAUGGACAACCUCAACAAAUCUCGGAUCCAUAUGGGUGGCAUAUUAACAAUUACAUGCAAAACUAUUUUGAGGAUUUAUCAUUUGAUAACUACUUUUCAUAAUACACUCAUUCUACACAUAGAGAUGAUGAAGAUAGUGAAAAAUUUGAACCUCAUAGGAACUCUCUGUGGUACUAAAGUGUAAAAUAUUGUACUAAUUCAUUAUAUAUAAAUGAUUAUGUGUGUUUAGACUUCUUUCAUUAAUUACUACAUAUUUUCUACACUCACAAUAUUUGUCAGAUCGCUAUAUAAUCAACUUGAUAAUGUUAAAUCCCUCAUGCAAUCCAUUUCCUUCCAAUUUUUUGUGAUAAACUAAUAGAUAAUUAACUAAAUAAACAUCCUACAAAGUUUCAAUAAAAAUUUCCAAGUUUUUCUUACAAUUUCCGUGGUUUCCAUGUAAUUUUUAUCGAUAUCGAUAUUUUACCGAUAUUUUCGUCGAUAUUUCCGUGUUUUCGGACUACCGAUAUUUCCGAUAUUACCGAUAUUUUCUUCCUUGGUCAUGCAUUGGGGUCCAUUUGGAAUGAGGAGAUUUCAAACCUCGAUCCAAUAUUUUUAUGAUUUCAUAUAAUAUGGCAUGCUUAUUUAUACAUAAUAGGAACAAGAAUAAUUUCGAUUCUUCAGUUUCACGCGUUUACUAAAACAGGACAUGUUGUAUUUAUAGAGAAUAAGAAUUAAAACAUUUCGACGAGCUCACUACUAGUUUUAUAGGUUUUCUUAAUUAACUCAAUCAUAUAGUAAAAAUUCAAAUCAUUAUGUUUUAAUCACUCCAUCCACGUGGACCCUUAAAUUAUACCGGUACUGAAAUAGGUUUAAAAUCACUGUUCACCUACAAUGAAAUGACUGUUUUGCGCCUAUUUCACUCUACCUAUAAUAUGAUUAUCUUUCCUCAUAUUACCAUCAUCUUCUUUCACUUCUCUUAGACCAUCUCCAACCCUUGAGCUAAAAGCCAAAUUUUUUAGCCCGGAAAAUUUAACUUUUAGCCCAGAAAUAUCUUUUCUGCUCCAACCCUUCUACCCUAAAAUUUUAGCCCGGAAUUAUUAAAGAAUGAAAUUAGCCUAAAUUUUUUUCUUAAAUCAAUUUUUUUUUAAAAAUAAAUAUGUAGAUUAUUAUAAAUUAAUUUUAUGAACAUUUUAAUAUAAAAAAAUUUAAAUUCCGAUAAACAUUUCACAUUUAGCCCGGGGGAAAGCUGGGGGGUAUUUGACCCAAAAAUAGCAUUUGGCAUUUAGCCUAAAAUUUUAGCAUGAGUUGGAGAGUGUUUGGGGUAAUUUGGCUUUUAACCCAGAGUUGGAGAUGAUCUUACACUUUACUUUUUAUCUUUUUCUUUAUAUAAAAAGUUAUAUAAAAAUGUUAAUAUAAUUUAAUCAUAAUUGUCUAAAUAAAACAGGAGAUAAAGGAAAAGAUAUUAGAAGGGAAAAGAAUUUUACAGCGCUCCCGAAUUCUUAAUUCCACCUCUCUCGAUGAAAACACUACGACCAGAAAACCUCAUCAAGUUGACCAAAAAAAAAAGGGUCUCUCCUCUCAACCUGCUAUUCCAUCUCUCUCGCAGCGGAAGUGAGAUUCGUUCAAGGUAAUUCCAGUUCAGAAGGACAAAUUUUUCCAAUUUCUGGGUUUCUUUUUGCUUCUGUUCUGUUAAACUCAUCCUGAAGUUAUUUGUUCAAAGACUAAGUAUUGUUGUUCAAUUAAAGAUUUUUGGGUUUCUUUUUGCUUCAUUUCUGUUAAAUUACUCAUCUUGAAGUUAAUUUUGUUCAAAAACUAAAGUAUUCUUCUUCAAUUAAUCUUACAAGAAAGCACAUGAGAACGUGGCACACUAGAUGUUCGAUGAAAAGUGUCAAUAUUUCAAUUUCUAAUUUCUGUGUAUAUAAUUUGUGACGAAGCAGAACGAGUAAAGCCAGCAGCUGUGAUUUGUAAAGUGGAAGAUUGGAUGUGUUGAUGUGUGGCAUGCUCUAAUUAGGUAUAUUUUUGUGUAGUAAGAAAGCCAUAGAGAGAGAGAGAGUCGCGUUUUUUUUUUUUUUUUUUUUUUUUUUCGGAUUAGGUUGAUGUUUCAGUCGUAAACUUGAUUAAGCAAUGAAAGUUGAGGACAUACAAGUGACACAUGUAAUUGGGAAUUUGUAAGUUACAUGCAAAGCUCAUGGAAAGUAAGCUUUUGUAAUGUGUCUCUAAUGUCUACUCUACAACGAUUGUCUUCGAACACUGUUGUCACAUUUUUGGGGAGAAAUUUCAAAGUAAGGUGUUAAUGUCUGAUGUAAGACUAUGUUGAAAUUUCGAAGUAAAACGUUUAUUUAAUUGUUUCGUUUUUUAUAUGAAAAAACAUUUACUAUUGAAAUUUUUCAUGGUGCCUUGUUUUAUAAAAGAUUCAGGGCGGGAAUGAUUUAGAUUUCAUUGAUUGGCAUCGUUUUUCAAGUUUUGUCUGUGCUUUUGUUUGUAGGAUCAACUUGCAAAAGAACAUAGCAGAGAACAAACAUUGUCAAUUUAUUUGUUGAAGUAUUGCAGCUAUCUGCACGACUCCAACAAGCCACACCAAGCAUACAAUGGAAAGCUCCAUCUCCCUCUUUCCCUCCCUCCAUUUUCUUCUUAUGAGUUUCCUGCUAACAUCAAUUUGUAUAUCGAUAAAAUACGAUUUGAACAACUCUUUAUAUGUAUAUAGAGUUGUCAACAACUACUGUAUAUUUAUAUAUAUAUAUACUUUGGCACUCGUUUUGGCACACCAUCUAAAAGAUUAUGGUGGUGACGGAAAAUUCACAAUUGGAACUCAGUAAACAAAGCAAAAUGAGGAUCUUGUCUCACGGUUUAGAACAGUUCAAAUUUAUCACUGUAUCUUUGAUCCCAGCGAAAACUAUUGGCAUGUAAACUCCCUCCCGAGACGUAAAUGAGUGAACCUUCAAGGUCACAAAUCACAAUUCAUAGUCUUGUUUAUUAGCAAGUUCAGUACACGAAUUUCCUCAUUUAUCAUACAAUUCAAAAGCUUAAGAUCUUUGACCACUCAGCUUUAUGGGUUUCGCGCCUGAAGAGACGACAAACCAAUGACAACAGCCAGUGCCAAAGAUCUGCUCUGGCUUUUCCUCGCCUAAAUAGCGCUUUGACAUUGUUUUCAUCCCCUGCCAGUACCUGCGAGCAUUCAUUCAUCCAAUUACAGUUAACACAGUUGCAUUGACAAUUUAAGGGUAUUCAUGAUGAGGUAAAUAUCUGCCAACUCCAAGCGAAACAGAAAAAUCAAAUAAUAGACGUUAGUUGCCUUGACAAUGUACGGGUAUUCAUGAAAAAGGUAAAUAUCAGCCGACUCCAUACUACGCAGAAAAAUCUAAUAUUAGACGUUAGUUGCAUUAACAAUUUUAAGUCAUAACAGCCAUAUAGUUUGAACAACAGGAUGAAGCAUGGUUAGUAACAUACCAAAGAGACCGUCCGAGUACCACAGGACCUAAAAUUCGAUUAUUGACUGAAGCAUGGUUAGUAAUAGGUUUUGUAACGGUAGUUUUAUGAAACAUUCAAAACAAUAAUGUAGAGGACUUAUUGAAGUUAAUUAUGAGUUAUUGAUAGACCUGUUGUACUCCUAAUAGAUGGAAUAAACCCACAUCUCGCUCUUUAGCCUUGCUCUUACGAGGGAACAGGUCACUUUCAUGCUGGAUUAAGAAUUACUCUUUUCAGUAGCGUGUACGUAUCAUACAUACAAGAGUAGCAUUUUGGUAUUGAAAAUGAAGAACAGUAGCUUUUUGAAGUGCGAGAUUGUGUCUGAAGUUAAAUUUUUUGAUGAUUGGCUAUCCCGCCUUCUCUGGCUUUUCAGAACUGGGGAGGAUAAUAAGUGUUUUUAUGUUUUGAGCAAUUUUUCUUUGUUACAAGCUUCUCUCUUUCAUCCUCCUAAUCAUUGUGUUUGGUUAAUGCUUGGAGUUUUAGUUGUUUUGAACAUGAGUUUCUCUUCAGAAAUGUUUUAAUUCGGGGCUCUCUUUAUGUUCACUAGUUAAUCACCCAAGCAUGUUGGCAUGAUGGCGAAUUUCUUGGGAAGUUGUGAGGUGUCGAAUGACUAAACAGGUCCAGUAAAGUAUAGAUUUAAGAAAUGACCAAAUAUAGAAUCUAGUAUUGAUAGAAAAUCACUAAGAGUGCCGAAGAUUUUUUUAUCUACACUGAAGAGAACACUCUUGAUAUGUUGUAAUGCAGUGGGCAAAGAGAUUGAGUAGAAAAUAGGAUGUAUUCCAACUGACAUUCAGAAAUGAGUACCCAAUUAAAGUUCCUAGUCCGUCGCUUGCACCAGGUAGGGUUCCGAUGAAGUUUUUCGUGGCCGUGACUGUAUCAAGUUCUAUUUCUGGAAAUAGAGAAGAGUGUAGAAAACUUAUUAUGUUGUAGUCUGCAAAGUCAGCCUUGGCACUGAUGUAAAUUGAAGUAAACUUCACUAGGAAGUUGGUUUAGCAUAUAGUGAUCGAGGCACUAAUGUAUUUGCUUUCAUUUCAUUUCCUUGUUUCUACUUUAUCUUUUGUCGUAAAAAAAUUUACAAUCCAAAAUAGGAGGUUUUUCGAACUGGCCUUCCGAAAUGAGCAGCAAAGAAUAAGUUUCUAUUCAAUUUCGAGCACCAGUUGGGUUUCCGUAUGAGUUUUUGUAGCCAUGGUAAAAUGUCAAGUUCGGCCUUGGCACUGAUGCAAACGGGUUAACUCCCACUCACACUCCAGUUCAAUAUGAUCGACGUAAACAUGUUCAAGUUAAUCAACAUUUUAAUUUAUUUGACUUUUUGUAAAGUAUGAGGAUCAACUGACAAACUUUCCAAUUGAGUUUAUCAUAGCUCACUAGAAAAAGAUGGGCAUUGAUUUGUGCACUCCUCAACUGAGGUUACUUAGGGCCUAUUUGGAAUCUUAUUUUGUCUAAUUUUUUGUUUAAAUAAAUAAUAAAUGUAGCUAAAUUACUUAAUACGCAUUAGUUUCAAAACAAAAAAUUGGAUAAAAAUAUAAUACCAAACAUCCCCUUACAUAUGAGUUAGUUUGAGCAAGAGGUUUCUAUAUCUCAAGAGAUUGACGCCAAAUUAGUAAGAGAUGGAUUGCAAAAUGUGAGAUUGGAGAGAUUAGACCAUUACAAAAGCAUGUAAGAGGGUUUUGGAUGCAGUUGAAUAUCAGAGUGCGCAACGAACGAGACUAACAAAAUAAUAGAAAUAUUAUUAAACAACCGAGAAUGCCGGAACGGCUACAAAACCCUAAGAGAUUACAUUGUGACUAACUUGAUUUCGAAUGAAUAACAAAGCACUUUAUUUAUAAUAAACUAACCCUAAACCCUAAUGCUAACGGGCUAAGCCCAGAAAACCAAAUAUUAAGUAAACCUAAAUACUAAUAUUUUCCAACACCCCCGUCAAACUCAUGGCGGUAUACGACAUGGGUUUGCAAACAAGCAGAUGCGGACUGGCUCCGUUAGGCGGACAGACAGACAGGCAGGCUCUGCCGCAACGCGGACAGACAGACAGGCAGGUAUGCAAACUUGACUUGACUUGACUUGCGAACUGGUGAACUUGCGAACUUGACUUGACUUGACUGGCAAACUGGCAAACUGGCUAGUAUUGAAAGUAUGGAGAGAACCCAUCAAUAAACGGACGAUAUUUCCAUAUCUCAAUUGUACCAACAAACAAACAACGCCUACAACUUGUGUGGGCCAUCAAACCAAAAAAUGGGUUGCAAACAGCCAACUGCCCGUGUGGGCCAAAACAAACAGCCAAUUUUAUUUAUUUUUUUGUUCUUUUUUCUUUCUUCCUUCUCUUUGUUUUUUCUUUUCUCCUUCCUUUCAACCACUCUUUCUGGGCUGUGGUUUUCUAACAAACAAAACAACUGCGAGUGCAGUGAUUAGAUGGAGGUGCGCAUACAGUGGGUAUGAGGAUGGCGUUGGACAGAACAGCAGCAAACUGGUGGGGUGUGGGGGCGACAGUGACUGGGUGCAAGUACGGUGCUGGUUCUGGGUUUCCGACUGACAACGAAGGAUGAAUGGUCGCUGCGAUGCGGGUGCUGAAUAAACAAACUCCAAACUUCCUUUUUUUUUUUUUUUUUUUUCUCAACUGGGCUUCUUCAUACCUGCAAAACAAGCACAGCAGAUGCAGGUUUGGAGGCAUGACAGGGUUGCGGCGGGACGAUUAGGCAGGAAAGGGGAUGCGGGUACCAUGCAAAGACAAGGCAGUGGUGGGUAGAUCUGAUUCUGCGAUGGUGAUGGCAAUGGUUUGCGGAUCAGAAAGGCGGCGGAUCAGCGGGGGUAACCUACGGGUUCAAUCUUCAAGUUGCUGGCGGCAUGGUGUGGGGUUGAUGCGAGUGAAGUAACAAGGCACAGAUGCAGACGGGUCGAACUUUUUCCAGGCUUUUUUUUUUCUACCAACAAUCAAACACAACUAGACAUUCCGAACACGACAAAAACAAGCAAACAGAUACCAACCAAAGCAGAUUAAAUCCCGAAGAAUGAAACCUGCUCUGAUACCAAGUUGAAUAUCAGAGUGCGCAACGAACGAGACUAACAAAAUAAUAGAAAUAUUAUUAAACAACCGAGAAUGCCGGAACGGCUACAAAACCCUAAGAGAUUACAUUGUGACUAACUUGAUUUCGAAUGAAUAACAAAGCAUUUUAUUUAUAAUAAACUAACCCUAAACCCUAAUGCUAACGGGCUAAGCCCAGAAAACCAAAUAUUAAGUAAACCUAAAUACUAAUAUUUUCCAACAGUGUAGGUAUUCAGUUUUCCAACAUAUUGUUAGCAAAACACAGUGUAUAAGUAAAUACAUAUUAAUUGCUUGGUAAGGAAAAAUCUAGAUUAAAUCAUGAUCAUAGGAUUGUUAUCAAUUGUCAAUAUUAAAUAUAUGUUAAUGAUACAAUGUCGCAUGACUUGAGCUGACUUUAAUUUAACCAAAAAUCAUAUAACAACUUUAUUUAAUGAAAAGGAUAUAAAAAUUAAUGAUGAGGACAAGCUAAAAGAAAACAAGCUUAAAUAAAGGGCCACAAACUGGAACUAAGUCCAGCGUGCAAAACAUUUUUUCUUUUUCAAUCCAUGCCACUGACGGAACAUUACCUUCCAUCAGCCCAAAUCGUUAAAUUUUGAAUUUCAAACAGGAACUAAGUCCAGCGUGCAAAACAUUUUUGCUUUUAACGAUGACGGAACAUUACCAAAUCGUUAAAUUUUAAAUAAAGGCAAACUGGAACUAAGUCCAGCAUGCAAAACAUUUUUUCUUUUUCAAAUCCAUGCCACUGACGGAGCAUUACCUUCCAUCAGCCCAAAUCGUUAAAUUUUGAAUUUCAAACAGGAACUAAGUCCAGCAUGCAAAACACUGCUUUGAAGCUCAUGUCGACUUAUUGACCAAAAGACUUGGAGAGCUUGUUCAUCCAUCACAUGUCGACUUAUUCUUUGCUCAUGGACCAAAAGAUUGCUUUGAAGCUCAUCAAUAGAUAAGGUGUCCAGUGUUGGAAUAUAUUAGUAUUCUAAGUAUUAUAUUGUUUGAGUUUUCUUAUAAGUUUAGUUUGGGCUUAACCUGUUAGCAUUAGUGUUAGGGUUAGAGUUAGUUUAUUAUAAAUAGCAUGCUUGUUAGUCAGUUGAGAACAAGCUAUUCACAAUGUAGUCUCUUAGGGUUUUGUAGCCGUUUCGGCAUUCUCGUUUAUUUAAUAAUAUUCUUAUUUUGUUAGUCUUGUUCGUUGCGCACUCUGAUAUUCAACUUGGUAUCAGAGCAGGUUUCAUCAUUCGGGAUUUAAUCUGCUUUGGGUUGGUAUUCGUUUGCUUGUGUCCGUUGUCGUUCAUGUUCAGAUUGUCUAGUUGUUUUUUACAGUUUGCAAGGAAAAACAAUGUGUUAAUUUUUUUCAGUUGUGUUGACGGCCUGCUGUUUCGCCGCCGUCGUCGACCACCACCCAUUGCCAGACCCACCUGAACAAUCCACACCUGACCCAUCUCUGUCAAGCCGUACUAGAUCCUUUUGCACCACUUUGAUCCGCACCUAUUAAACCUGCAUCUCGCUCGCCUCGAACCAGCCUCGCCACCUGCUUGAAUCUCCCGCGCCGACCCAUCACCUGCAACUCAGUCCUAAAUCUCUUCGUCCUCGCUGCACUUGCUCGCACCCACCAAGCACCAGCACCGACAGAACCAUACAUGCUCCAUUCGAACCAGACCACCAGCCAUCCUCGUACCUUGCACACCUCCAUUUGAAUCUGUUGCACUCCCUGUACCCGCAUCCUCGCCGCUGCUUGAACCGCUGCACUACUUCCGCAAGCCCAGACGACAUGACCUGCUUCCUGUUGCUAGAAUCACCGAAGCCCGUAUCUGCACCUGCGUUUGUUUUGCACGAAUUGAGCAUAGAAAAGGGUUAAAAAAAAAGGAAAAAAAAAGUUAUGGAGCCCACGAUCCGUUGGCUAUUACAAUUUGUUUGAAGUAAUAGUAAUUUGUUUGUUCGUUUGUUGCUACAAUUGAGAUAUGGAAAUCUCGUCCGUUUAGUGACGGGUUCUUUCUAUACUCUCAACACUAGCCAAUUUGAACUAGAAUUAGUUUGCCAACAAGAAUCAAGAAUCAAGAAUCAAUUGUAGAUUUGCCAGUCAAGUCAAGUCAAGAAUCAAGUCAAGUCAAGUUAAGUAAAGAAUCAAGAAUCAAGUCAAGUCAAGUCAAGUCAAGUUUGCAUGCCUGCCAGUCCGCCUAACGGAGCCAGUCCGCAUUUGCUUGUUUGCAAACCCAUGUCGUAUACCGCCAUGAGUUUGACGGGGGGUGUUGGAAUAUAUUAGUAUUCUAAGUAUUAUAUUGUUUGGGUUUUCUUAUAAGUUUAGUUUGGGCUUAGCCUGUUAGCAUUAGGGUUAGGGUUAUAGUUAGUUUAUUAUAAAUAGCAUGCUUGUUAGUCAGUUGAGAACAAGCUAUUCACAAUGUAGUCUCUUAGGGUUUUGUAGUCGUUUCGGCAUUCUCGUUUAUUUAAUAAUAUUCUUAUUUUGUUAGUCUUGUUCGUUGCGCACUCUGAUAUUCAACUAGAUCGUUGGAUUCCUCAAUGGAGCAAACUACAUAAUCAUAUUUCGGGGUCAUGGACCUCAAAAUUUUCUCUAUGAUUACCACAUCAUCCAUCUUCUCCCCAUGAAUUCUCAUCAUGUUUGCUAUAGCAAGUGUUCUCCCAAAAUAAUCAUUGACUGUUUCUCCAUUCUUAAUGUGCAGCACCUCGAAUUCCUUGCGAAGAGCCUGCAGUUGAGCACGUUUUACACGUGCAGUUCCCUGAUAUUUUUGUUUCAAAGAAUCCCAUAUAUCCUUCACAGUAUCCUUCUUCAUGAUGGUCUCCAAUAUUAACCGAUCUAUGGCUUGGAACAAAUAGUUCUUAGCCUUCAAGUCCUUCAGCUUCAAGUCAUCCAGAGUCUUCUUCUGUACUUCACUGGAUUCCAAACCUCCUGCAGCAGUGAUCCCAAACUCCACCAAGUUCCAAUACUCUUGGAACGAAGAAAGUUUUCCAUCAGCAUACUCCAAUGGUCGUAGUGUCCAUCGAACCUUGGAAUGACUGGUUGCACAAAACUGUUCUCAGACGCCAUGUCUUGUUUCUUCACUCUAGCACCUAGGUUGCAAGCUUUUGAUCAGGCCCCGUAGUGGGGCUCUGAUGCCAAAUGUUAGAACCAAGAAAAACGCAGGAGUUUCUGCAAUGCAACACUAGAGAGCUUUCAUGAAAUCAGGGAGAAUUUCUUAUUCAGUGAAAACUACCAUCAUGGCUAUUACACUUGAACUGAAAGGAAAUAACAACUGCCCACGAUUUUACAGUUCCUAUAAUCGUGGUAAAGACUACGUCAAAACAGAAAAUGCAUAGUUAUCCCUCAAGAAUAGGGAUUAUUGAAUAACAACCCUUAAAACUAGGAAUCCUAGCUAUACGGGGAACCCUAGCAGUAACGAAAAACCCUAACAACUUUAACAUGGUGAGGCUUAUGUUACUGUUGAUGGGUUUGGUUAACAGGGUUUUCAUUCCUUUUCAGAUUUGUUUCGACACACACUUCUCGAAAUUUGCAAGAUGCUAUGUGAUAUAAUCAAAUGAACAAUUUGAUGUCAGUAGUUUGAGGGAUCUGACCGCAACACACAGCAGCAGCGAUGGGGGAGGAGAAGCGGCACCAGUUGAUGCAGAACCUAUUCGGUGAUCAAUCUGAAGAGGAAGAGGAAGAGGUUGAUUCCGAGCAUGAGUCCAAUCCCCAGCCCAAUUCUGUAUGAUUCUCUAAUUUCAAGUUUCCUAUCUAUUCUGAUUCCAAAAGCAUGUUUGGGAAUGAUAAGGGUUUCAAUUUCUGCUUUAAUCUUUUAGCUGAAGGAAGAUAUAGGUUGUUUUUCUGUUAAUGGCGGUGGAUGAUUUGGAUGAAAGUGUGAAUCUUGGCGAUUUUUUUUGCUUGCAGUUGUUUAGGCCUAACUCCGCCUAUGUCUUACAUGGCCGGUCCCAAGCCCGGAUAAAAGAGGAGGGGGAGGGCGUCAGGUAGUCGACAGCCGGCACUCCAUGAUCACGUCGAAUCCUUAUGAAAAUGAAUCCAGAACAAAAUCGCGCUAAAGCUAGGGCGUCACCCGUAAGUGGCGCGCUGUGUGGCCCGAGCACAGUGAUAAGUGAGCAAGGGUCGCUGUAUCUCCAUCGGCACCCGGAUGCAGUGUUAAAUGAGCAAGGGGGCCAUAGAAACUUCUUUUCGAACGACUCCACUCAAAGUUGUUUGGGAGCAUAUGCUCCUAUCAACUUUACCCGGGACACACAAAAGAAGUACUUUGAUCCUAUUAGACGGGGGAGGGUGAAGAAGCUAGGACAGAAGGGUAGAGUUUAAGAGAGCAAAAUGCGUUUAGGAACGUGGAAUAUAGGAACCUUAACGGGAAAAUCUAUGGAAGUAGUGGAAGUUAUGGUGAGGAGAAGGAUAAAUAUUAUGUGCCUACAAGAAAACUAAGUGGGUUGGUAGUAAGGCAAAGGAUCUAGAAAACUCAGGGUUUAAACUUUGGUAUUCGGGCACAAAUAGAACGAGAAACGGUGUUGGCAUCAUCGUGGACAAGACCUUGGUACAAGAUGUUGUAGAUGUCAAGAGGGUCGGAGAUAGAAUCAUGGCAAUCAAGAUUGUAAUAGGACAAGAACUUAUCAAUGUGAUUAGUGCGUACGCACCUCAAGUAGGGUUGGAUACGAGUUCAAAGGAGAAAUUUUGGGAAGAUCUUGGAGACUUGGUGCAAGGAAUUGCUCAGACGGAGAAGUUAUUUAUAGGAGGAGAUUUAAAUGGACACGUGGGCAGGGAGACAGGCAACUAUGGAGGUUUUCAUGGUGGCCAUGGUUUUGGGGAGAGAAACGAGGAUGGGGAAGCUAUCUUGGAUUUUGCAAUGGCAUAUGAUCUCUUCUUAGCCAACACCUUCUUUAAGAAGAGAGAAGAACAUGUGAUCACCUACAAGAGUGGAUCGUCAAAAACACAAAUAGAUUUUCUUCUAAUGAGGAAAGGGGAUCGUAUAACUUGUAAGGAUUGCAAAGUUAUACCAGGAGAGAGCGUGGCUAAUCAACAUCGCUUGUUGGUGAUGGAUGUACAUAUCAAAAGAGUAAGACAAAAGAACAAGACUUGGAAGUGCCCAAGGACUAGAUGGUGGAAUCUAAAAGAAGAAAAACAAGUCAUUUUCAAAGAGAAGGUAAUCACCCAAUGUGUGUGGAAUAGAGAGGGGGAAGCUAGCCAAAUGUGGGAUUCCAUGGCUAGUUGUAUCCGAAAAGUAGCAAAAGAGGUAUUAGGAGAGUCCAAGGGCUUUGCCCCACACCAAAAGGAAUCUUGGUGGUGGAAUGAGGAGGUACAAACAAAGGUGAAGGCUAAGAAGGAAUGCUGUAAAGCCUUAUACAAGGAGAGGACCGAUGAAAAUGGUGAAAGGUAUAGAAAAGCGAAGCAAGAGGCGAAGAAAGCUGUCAGAGAAGCUAAGUUAGCGGCUUACGACGAUAUGUAUAAACGACUAGAUACCAAAGAAUGAGAGUUGGAUAUCUAUAAACUAUCUAGAGCAAGGGAAAAGAAGACAAGGGACCUAAACCAAGUGAGGUGCAUCAAGGAUGAGGAUGGAAAGGUUCUUGCUACAGAGAACGCGGUUAAAGACAGAUGGAGAGGUUAUUUUCAUAAUCUUUUCAAUGAAGGACAUGAAAUGAGUGCUUCUUUAGGGGAGUUGAGUAACUCAGAAGAGUGUAGAAACUACUCUUUUUAUCGUCGAAUCCGGAAGGAAGAAGUGGUUGUAGCUUUGAAGAAGAUGAAGCAUAAAAAAGCAAUAGGCCCAGACGAUAUACCAAUUGAAGUGUGGAAACUUUUGGGAGAGACAGGUAUAACAUGGCUCACUGACCUUUUCAAUAGGAUUUUGAAAACGAAGAAGAUGCCAAAUGAGUGGCGAACGAGCACUUUGGUGCCUAUCUACAAGAAUAAAGGCGACGUACAAAAUUGCAUGAACUAUAGGGGUAUUAAGCUAAUGAGUCAUACAAUGAAGCUCUGGGAGAGAGUCAUUGAGCAUAGAUUGAGGCAAGAGACACGGGUUUCGGACAACCAAUUCGGGUUCAUGCCAGGGCGCUCAACCAUGGAGGCAAUCUAUCUUUUACGAAGAUUGAUGGAAAGAUAUAGAGAUGGGAAAAAAGAUUUACACAUGGUCUUUAUAGAUUUGGAAAAAGCGUAUGAUAGGGUCCCAAGAGACAUUCUUUGGAGGAUUUUAGAGAAGAAAUGAGUACGAGUAGCAUAUAUCCAAGCUAUAAAGGAUAUGUAUGAAGGAGCAAAGACUGCCGUAAGAACUCAUGAAGGACAAACCGAAAGCUUUCCCAUAACUGUAGGAUUACAUCAAGGCUCAUCCUUAAGUCCUUACCUUUUUACGUUGGUAAUGGAUGAGUUAACAGGACAUAUUCAAGAUGAUAUUCCUUGGUGUAUGCUUUUCGCAGACGAUAGAGUGUUGAUAGAUGAAACUCAGGAAGGGGUAAAUGCAAAGCUUAACCUUUGGAGAGAAGUGUUGGAAUCUAAAGGUCUUCGCCUAAGCCGAUCAAAGACAGAAUAUAUGGAGUGCAAGUUCAGUGCAAAUGGAGGCCAAAACGAGUUAGGGGUGAGGAUCGGAGAUCAAGAAAUACCAAAGAGCGACCGUUUUCGUUACCUAGGAUCUAUCUUGCAAAAGAACGGAGAAUUAGAUGGAGAUCUCAACCACCAUAGAAUACAAGCUGGAUGGAUGAAGUGGAAGAGUGCAUCCGGCGUGUUAUGUGACCGCCGUAUGCCACUGAAGCUCAAAGGAAAAUUUUAUAGGACGGCAAUAAGGCCGGCGAUGCUGUAUGGCACAGAAUGUUGGGCGGUGAAACAUCAACACGUACACAAAAUGGGUGUAGCGGAGAUGAGGAUGCUUCGUUGGAUGUGUGGGCACACGAGAAAGGAUAAGAUUAGGAAUGAGGAUAUCCGGGGUUAAAGUAGGAGUAGCCGAAAUUGAAGGAAAGAUGAGAGAAAUCGGUUACGGUGGUUUGGGACAUGUGUGGACAUGUGCAAGAAGGCCUACUGACGCUUCGAUUAGAAGAUGCGACUAUGGGACAGAGGUUCAGGGCCGAAGGGGUAGAGGAAGACCUAGGAAAACUUUGGAAGAGACUCUAAGAAAAGACUUAGAGUACUUGGAUCUAACGAAGGACAUGACACAGGAUCGAGCGCAAUGGCGUUCUAAGAUUCAUAUAGCCGAUCCCACUCAGUGACUUGGAUUUUCCAAGUCUCCAACCAAGAAGUUUUCCUCACUUGAAAAAUUAAGGGAACACUACCCCAACCUACAUGCUCCACUCAGAAAGCUUCAACAUACAAGCUUCAACAAAAGAAAAUUCAAAGAACUUAGCGAAGAAGGCUUUGGUGUAUUUAACACAAUACGUUGAAAUGAAGGAAAGCUUAUUUAUUGAUAUCCCCGAUAAGCUACAAAUAUGUCCAUAUACAUGAAUCAAAAUAAACACACAAGAGGGAGCCUUCACAAAGGUUGCUUAGGAGAAGUCUGAGCAGUCGGUAGAGCUCCAGAAAGAGAAGGCACCGGAGGGGGAUCAUUUGGAGCCUCAGUACUGGACAGAACCUUAGAAGGAGGAGGCAUCAGAGGUUGAUCAUUUGGAGCUUCAUUACGCACUACAGCCCCAGAAGACGAAGGCAAUAAAUGCCUUUGGAACAAACCCACAAAUCUCUGAUGAUCAAGUAAAACCUGACCAUCAGUUUCCUUCAUCUGGUCAAGCUUCCUCUUCAUGUUUGUAGCAUAGUCAUGUGCGAGCCGGUGCAACUGUUUAUUCUCAUGCUUGAGCCCCCUAAUCUCCUGUUUGAGACUCAUCACUUCAGCCGCCAAUGAUUCAACUUGGCGGGUUCGAGCAAAUAGGCGUUGGGCCAUAUUAGACACAGAACCUGCACACUGAACACUAAGAGCCAGCGAAUCCUUAACAGCUAACUCAUCAGACCGUUUGGAAAGUAGUCUGUUAUCUUUGGGAGUGAGAAGGUUCCUGGCCACCACCGCAGCGGUCAUAUCAUUCUUCAUCACGGAAUCCCCAACGGUAAGAGGACCAGUAGGGGAGACGAAGGAUGGGCGCCAUAUGUUGUCUGGAGAAGGCGGGGCUGCCUCUUCAACAAGGUUCAAGUCAAAACGACGGUCAGAGGGGCCAGACAUUUUCAAAGGUGUUGAAGAGAGAAGAGGUCGGACAAAUCAAGAUCUUAGAAGUGCAAGAAUGAAGCUUCUACUGGUGGAGAUUCAAGUGUGCUUUGGAACUUAAUGCUUGAUUUAGCCCCUAUAAAAAUCUGCACUCGACGGAGCUUCAGAUAUCGAAGAGGCGCCUGCUCAGAAAUCGAAGAGGCGCUUUUCUUUGAUUCGAAAGCUCAGGCUGGCUUUGAGAAUCAAAGAGAAUCUCAGAAAUCGAACAGGCGUUUGCUUUCUCAAAAGUUGGGGCUGCUCAAAGACCACGAAAGCCGAUCUCAGAAAUCGAAGAGGCGUUGCUUUCUCAACUUCAAAGACUCACGGGGCCGAUCUCAGAAAUCGAAGAGGCGCUCGCUUUCUCAAAAGCUGGGCUCCCAGAGACCACGAGGGCCGAUCUCAGUAAUCGAAAAGGCACCUACUUUUCCAACCUUGUCAGCACCUGUCACACGCACACUCAGCUUUGCGGAAAUUAUGGGCAUUCUGUCGAAGACUUCUGGGGAAGGUAGAAAACACAUGAAUCUUACUGUUCAAUCACCCACUUCCCACACGCAACAAUAGCUCAUGGGUACCGCAGAUAACUUUGCCAAAGUUCUCUGCCAAAGUUGAGCACGUGAAGCUUGCAGCUCCCACUACAUCGCUCUGACCAAGAAGGGUAAAAGAAUAGCAAAGAAACAGCACUAACAAAGUUUAGACCCAUAAAUUUUGAAGGUCUAGCUACCAUAUUAUUACCCACAAGGGUAAAGGAACAGUACCACUGCUGGAUAAUUGGAAAGUCCCUGUGUGUCAACCUCUGUGCUUCGCGGCAAGAUAGACUAGCAAACAUGCCCAACCUUUACUCACAUUCGAGAAAACACUCCCAAUAAGAUUGCUUGCUCCAAAAUCGAAGAGGCACCGUCCUCCGAAUCUCGAGAACUAAACUCCCAACAUGACUACUUUCUUAAAAAUCGAAGAGAGGGUAAAGGAACAGUACCAUUGCUGGAUAAUUGGAAAGUCCCUGUGUGUCAACCUCUGUGCUUCGUGGCAAGGUGGACUAGCAAACAUGCCCAACCUUUACUCACAUUCGAGCAAACACUCCCAACAAGAUUGCUUGCUCCAAAAUCGAAGAGGCACCGCCCUCCGAAUCUCGAGAGCCAGACUCCCAACAUGAUUACUUUCUCAAAAAUCGAAGAGACAUUGCUCCCCGAAUCUUCGAGAGCCAGACCCCCAGCAUGAUUGCUUUCUCAAAAUCGAUGAGGCAUCGUUCUCCGAAUCAAUCGAAGAGGCGCUCGCUUUCUCAAAAGCUGGGCUGCUCAUAGACCACGAGGGCCGAUCUCAGAAAUCGAAGAGGCACCUACUUUUCUAGCCUUGUCAGCAUCUGUCACACGCACACUCAGCUUUGCAGAAAUUAUGGGCAUUCUGUCGAAGACUUCUGGUGAAGUAGAAAGCACAUGAAUCUUACUGUUAAAUCACCCACUUCCCACACGCAGUAAUAGCUCAUGGGUACCACAGAUAACUUUGCUAAAGUUCUCUGCCAAAGUUGAGCACGUGAAGCUUGCAGCUCCCACUACAUCGCUCUGACCAAGAAAGGUAAAAGAAUAGCAAAGAAACAGCACUAACAAAGUUUAGACACAUAAAUUUUGAAGGUCUAGCUACCAUAUUAUUACCCACAAGUGUAAAGGAACAGUACCACUGCUGGAUAAUUGGAAAGUCCCUGUGUGUCAACCUCUGUGCUUCGUGGCAAGGUAGACUAGCAAACAUGCCCAACCUUUACUCACAUUCGAGAAAACACUCCCAACAAGAUUGCUUGCUCCAAAAUCGUAGAGGCACCGUCCUCCGAAUCUUGAGAGCCAGACUCCCAACAUGACUACUUUCUCAAAAUCGAAGAGAGGGUAAAAUAACAGUACCAUUGCUGGAUAAUUGGAAAGUCCCUGUGUGUCAACCUUUGUGCUUCGUGGCAAGGUAGACUAGCAAACAUGCCCAACCUUUACUCACAUUCGAGAAAACACUCCCAACAAGAUUGCUUGCUCCAAAAUCGAAGAGGCACCGCCCUCCGAAUCUCGAGAGCCAGACUCCCAACAUGAUUACUUCCUCAAAAAUCGAAGAGACACUGCUCUCCGAAUCUCGAGAGCCAGACCCCCAGCAUGAUUGCUUUCUCAAAAAUCGAAGAGGGCAUCGUUCUCCGAAUCUCGAGAGCCAGAUACCACAGACCAUUUUUUCAAAAGUGCUCUGACAGAGUUAAAACAUGUGAAACUGGCAGCUCCCACUACCGUGCUAUGACCAAACAGGGUAAAUGAAUAGCAUUACUACUUGUUGUUAGGAAGACUCCUAUAUAUGUCGACCCCCAUCCCCAACGGACAGGCAGACCUGCAAAAAUGCUCAACCCUUCAUCAUAUCUGAGAGGACACUCCCAACGAAGCCUUUCGAAAUAUUCAGCUUUCUUUCCCCCCGAUAAUACCUCUACAAACAAGCUAUACUAGAGCAAGAAUAUCUCAUAUCAUCAGGGUUAAAAGCAAGAGUAUCCCAUAUCAUGCUUUUUCCCUAUCUUUUCCUUUGGCCUUGUUUUUACCUGCAAGACAAGGAGAAAGAGAGCAAUCAGUCAGCACUUGGAAUCAAGCUUCCAGCCAGGAACUGACUGCCUGGAACCCCUUACCUGAUUACUUACCUGGCAUUGCUCUCGAGUACUCAUCUUCAACAUCUUAUGUUUCCAGGGAAGAUUCCGCAUCUGCUUGAGGAACAGAUAGGGCAAGUGCGAAGGAUAUAAGGAAGCAUGUGGAGACAAGCGUAACAGCACACGUGCCGAUACAUCCAUUACUCUGUCAAAAGCAAAAGUAUCCCAUAUCAGCAGGGUGGAACGUACUCUAGAUUUGAUGGACUUGUUUUGACCCUCAAAUUCUUCAGUCGGCCUUAUACUCUGGAGGAAACCAGAAAACCCUCCAGCUCAGUUCAAGAAUAAGCCUGUGGAAAGUUACUUCUUCAAAAGCAAAAGUAUCUCAUAUCAUCUCUUCUCAUUUUUCUUCUCUUUAUCCUUCAUGCUGCUGCAAGAUGGGGAGAAGGUGAACAAUCAAUCGGAGCUCUGAUUGCUUACCUUGUCUGUCACCUCUUUCAGCAGACUCCUUAGCUCGGCGACUUGGGGGACUCCUACUACAUGGUUUGUAUCGCGCUUGACCAAGCCUGAAACUACAAGUAAGCUUCAAGUGAAAUUGAUACAUUACCUUGUGCAUCUCCACCAGUUAAAGAUACCACCCCUGGAUGGAGGAAGAGUACUUCCAGAGAAGAUGCCACAUCUACCUAUGAGACAGAUAAGGCAAGUCAAGACAACACCAUACUCCGAUACUUAGAAGUUUCGUGAUUACGAGAUCAUUCUCACACAAUAUUUCCUAAUGUCAUUUGUACUAAAUCAUUCACUUGUACUCACUAAAGGAGAGCUUGAACCUAUGUACUUGUGUAAACCCUUCACAAUUAAUGAGAACUCUUCUAUUCCGUGGACGUAGCCAAUCUGGGUGAACCACGUACAUCUUGUGUUUGCUUUCCUAUCUCUAUCCAUUUAUAUAUUUAUCCACACUAAUGACCGGAGCAAUCUAGCGAAGAUCACAAAAAGCGACCGUUUUCGCUACCUAGGAUCUAUCUUGCAAGAGAACGGAGAAUUAGAUGGAGAUCUCAACCAUAGAAUACGAGCUGGAUGGAUUAAGUGUAAGAGUGCAUCCAGCGUGUUGUGUGACCGUCGUAGGCCACUGAAGCUCAAGGGAAAAUUUUAUAGGAUGGCAAUAAGGCCAGCGAUGUUGUAUGGCACAGAAUGUUGGGCGGUGAAGCAUCAACACGUACACAAAAUGGGUGUAGCGGAGAUGAGGAUGCUUCGUGGGAUGUGUGGGCACACGAGAAAGGAUAAGAUUGGGAAUGAGGAUAUCCGAGGUAAAGUAGGAGUAGCCGAAAUUGUAGGAAAGAUGAGAGAAAAUCGGCUCCGGUGAUUUGGACAUGUGCAAAGAAGGCCGACUGACGCUCCGGUUCGAAGAUGUGACUACGGGACAGAGGUUCAGGGCCAAAGGGGUAGAGGAAGACCUAGGAAAAUUUUGGAAGAGACUCUAAGAAAAGACUUAGAGUACUUAGAUCUAACGGAGGACAUGACACAAAACCGAGCGCAAUGGCGUUCUAGGAUUCAUAUAGCCGACCCCACUUAGUGGGAAAAGGCUUUGUUGUUGUUGUUGUUGUUGUUGCAGUUGUUUAGGCCUGGACUGAAGAAGUUUUGUAGAAUGAGAUUCUUAUGAGUAGUCAAUUUUAGUGGGAUUGUUGUUUCAAUCUAGAUAAUGAAUGAUGUCGUUUCCCUAUUCGGUCUGUCCUUUGACAGUGUAGCAGAUCUGGAAUUUUGUGAAAUGCUCUUUAUUGAGAAUGAAGAGCCACAAAUUGAAGACGAAUAAAAAAAAUUUGCAUGUUCUGAUUAGAAAUAUAGAAUUGGUUUUAAAUUAUUUUCUUGACUGUUUGGUUCUGAUGUGCUUUACCGAUAAAUCAUGGGUUUGCAAGAUAUUUUUUGUUGUUUUCUCUUGCCGUUGACUGGGGAUGUGGGUGAUCCUGUUACCCUGUACACCGCAGUACAGGGCGGUAACAAGAUUAUCUAUUGUGCUACUGCACUCUCUAUAAUCAGCGGAGACCUCUAUAGGGCUGAUCAAGGAGGGGUCUACAAUCUUACCAAAGCAUUUCAGGUGUGGUCGUUAUUGCCAUAUCCUUGAAAUGCUCCUUUUUUACAUUUAGUAAUCUGUUUCGGUUUUGAUGUCUUUUAAGUUCUUGGGUUUGUUCAAUGUUGGAUUUGAAUUUUACCCUUCGAGAGUCGCUUAUGUGAAGCUUUUGACUGUUUGCAUUGCAGGACUAUAACAACAAAAUGGCGCAAUUACGAGCAGGAAAGAGUGGCAAGAGCAAACUUACAAUUGUAAAGUUCAAGACUCUGGAGUCAGUGGAUGGAUGGGAAGUUCGUCAGGGGACUUAUUUUCAGGAUGUGGUUGCUUCCAAGUAUGAUGGAGGAAUGGAUGCCAAGUUCGAAUUCACUUCACCAGAGAUGCUGUUUUCUUUUACUCUAUUUCUUGCUGCAUUGUAGGAUAUGUUUUCACCACGGGAGGGUAUAUUGAGCUGUCUGAAAAGCUUUCACUUCCUUUGGGUCAAACCCUCGACCGGUAUAUGCCAUAUUUGCAUUCUCAAAUGGAGCUACUAAGCUAAAAGCAGCUUCCCAAAAUAAAAUUCAUGGUAUUUUUCUUAUUAUUAUUUUCUUAGAAUUUGAACACAAAAUGAAUUCAUUUAAUAGAAAAUCAUUUGCAACAGAAAUUACCUGAUGAAUUUGCUGCACAGCUACGACAUUCUAACAACAUUUAGUCAAUUUGAGAAGCAAGCUGUGCAAGUUAAGUUGCAUUCUGUUUACUUAAUUUUCUGUGUUUUUUCUUUUGCUGUUUGGAUUUAGGAGCUAAAACAUUCGUCUUUUGCAAUGUUUUUAGGUGGAUGAUGCUAUCUGGGCUGCUGAAAAAGCCACAUUUAAAGCUGAGAUGAGUGGAAAGAAGCUAAUGCACUCAUGGAACAACUUCAGACAUUUCAAGCGUGGCUUUGGGAUUCUGCAACAGUCCCGGGUUUGAGGAUUACAUAAAAAGAGGGCUGGAACCCAGCUAGUCGAAGCUGGGGGGCUAGGCCCUCACGCCCAUAAUAUAUUACUUGAAAAAAAAGACAUACAACGGGAGGGACAUAAUACUUAAACCCCAAUGAUAAAAAAGCAAAAUCAUAUACAACCACUCUAAGCAAUCAACAUGGGCAUCACAUAUUGAAUCCAAAAGGUUGACGCCCCAUAUAAUUGAAAAUAAGGAAAUUAAAGAGACUAAAAAAGAAUAAUUGAAGUUGGUGGGUGAGAAAGCAAAAGUGUGGACGACGAAAUCUUUGAUCCAUAUGGUAUGUCAUCUGAAAAGAAAAAUAAAAUGCUGGUGACAAUGAAUGAAGAAUUGAAAGUAAGAAACGAGAUUGGCAUGUAUUUCAGAGUUUAUACUGAAUUAGGCUAGUGUAAAUUGAAAUAAGUUAGAAAACGCACCUUAACGAAUGUCAAUGUGUGGGAUGUGUGCAAUCUUAGGCCAGUCCUCACCUGUUUCUUUCCGGCACCUUGCGCUUAAAAUGGGGCAACAAAGAAUGUGCAAUGUAGAAAGACAGGGGAGUGCACGAGUCCCUUCUGGCAGUGAAGUUAGAUUAGGACACCAGUUGAUAUACAACGUAGAAAGACAGGGAAAAGAAGGGAACGACAUAUUUUCCGUUGAUGAAGAAGAAGAAGCACUGUUUUGAGUGUGCGCCCUCCACCAUCCCUUCAGAACAGGGCAAUGUGCUAUGGAGAGCUGCUCCAGGGAGGGAAAGAGUGAGAUCCUCAUCAUCUCAUCACUCAUACUAUUACUGCUCUCUUUCUCUGAUAUGUACUCCAACUUCUCCAAACAUCGAAGUUCAAGGGACUUAAGGGAAGGCAAAUGAUCCAAGGGUGGAAGAUGUUGGCAUCUCUCACAUCCAUUCAAUCUGAGAUUAACAAUAUUAAUGAGAGAAGAAACCCAACUCGCAAACCUCACACCACCAUAUAAGUUUAUGGACAACUGCUUUAGAUUAGAAUGGGGUUGCAAUACUUCCAUUGACUUUAUAAUAUCCUCCUCAUCAACUGCGCUUACAUCUUCUCCAAGUUUCCAGGAUAAAUCCAACGAAUGGAGAUGCUGUUUGUCCUUGAGAGGUGUACCAACAUUUGAUUCUGACACCACAUCUUUCUCCUGCCUCAAAUUGCUUAUGACUAAUUUUCCCCUUAAUUCGUUAAGGGUCCCCAGCUCAGCAAGACCAGCACUACCGCCCCUCCCCAAACAAUUGCUUUCGCUCAAAACAAAUCUAUUCAAUGUACGAACACCUUUCAAUUCACCAAUUCCACGUGGCAUUCCACUCAAUCCCCAACAGCCUUCCAAGAUGAGAUGCCUUAAGUUGAACAUUUUUUUAAUGUCUCUAGGCAAUUCCACAAGACUCUGACACCAACUGAGAUCUAGUGUUUCCAAAUUCGAAAGUCCAACUAUCCAACCUGGAAGUUUAUUGAUGCCAGAAUUACGACUAAGAUCAAGAUAUCUCAAAUAUUUCAUUUUUCUAAGACAUUUAGGUACUCCUUUAAUUCCUAAUUUACUGAGACUCAAUAUACGCAAUGACUUAAAAUUUGAAACAAUUAUAGCACAAAAUGAAUCACAUAAUGACCCAUCUAUAUCACUCAACUCAUUCUGGCAAAGAAAAAGAAAAGUUCGUAUCUUUUUUGCUUUUGGCAACGAAGUUGGCACUUCCCAUUCUGACGGAUCGACUUGAAAAUUGAAAGAUACAUGACGAAGCUUUUCAUGAAAAUUCUUUUGGUCUGGUUCAACUACGACGCUUCCAAUCCCCGACACUAAGAUUGCAAGUUCAUUCAUGAGAUCAUGCAUUUUACAACUUCUUAUUAUACCAAACUCAUCUUUUUCUUCUUCUUGAAAAAACGAUCUCCACAACAACUCCCUGUAAUAUUCAUACGCAACAUCCUCCAAACCCUUGUUUUCAUCGGAUGACUUAAUGAACCCUUGCGCCACCCAAAGUCUAAUCAAUCUCUGCACAAAGAUCUUAUAAUCAGGUGGGAACAAGCUACAAUAAGCAAAACAAUGCUUCAAAUGUGAUGGGAGCACAUCAUAACUCAAUUUAAGUGUUGGUAAAAUAUCAUUUUCUUCUUGACUUAUUUUUGAAAGUUCCUUUUCUUUGAAAUUCAACCAAUCACUUUCGUCAUCUUUGGCAAACAACAUCCCACCUAUCGUCCUUAUAGCAAGUGGAACUCCCUGACAUUUUCUUGCAACCUCUUUCGCAACUGCCUUAAUUGUUGAAUUCUCUGUCUCCUUUCCAUCUUUAUAAGCCAUUUUCUUAAAUAAAGACCAACUUUGCUCUUCAUUCAAACCCUUUAAGGUGUAUGAUUUAGCUGUGUCUGAUAUCGUCGCAACGGUUUUACUACGAGUGGUUAUUAGUAUUCUACUACCUUCUCCACCACCCAUUAACAAGUUCUUCAAGCUAAGCCACUUCUCUCGAUCCUCAUUCCACACAUCAUCCAACACAAGUAGGUACUUCUUCCUAGCUACUUUUUUCCUAAGAUCUUUUUGCAACUGCUCAAUCUCGUCAUGAUUUUUGGAUUGAAGGAUUUUCUUAACAACUAUAUCCAACUCAAAUGCAUUAGAGACGCAUGUCCAUAUUUUCAACUCAAAAUGAUUUUGAAUCACCUUAUUGUUGAAUAUGAGUUGGGCAAGUGCAGUUUUCCCCAAUCCCCCAAUUCCAACUAUGGAAAUGGUUGACACAUUCUUAGUUGAGAUAGGAUCCAACAAAAGUUGGAUAAUAGCCUUAGUAUCUUCAUCCCUCCCUACAAUAUUUUCCUCAGGGACAAAUGAGUGAGUGACCCUCUCUCUCUUUAUAAAUCGUGUAUCUUCAUGGUUGUCUUUUAAGUCACUGGGUCUACGAGAUGCAACCUCACUAAUCCUCUUGUUAAUGUUUUUUAUCUUGUGACCCAUCUUUAGCCCAAACACAAGUUGAUUUGAGUUAGAAAAGAAAAGGUGCACCUAUAAGAAUUUGAGUAGACAUAAUCAUUAUUUUGAUAGAAGGAUAUUAAUUAAGUUAAUAGAGUUUUGUAAUAGUAGGUUAUAUGAAACAUUCAAAAUAAUAAUGUAGAAGACUUCCUGCAAUUAAUUAUGAGUUAUUUAGAGAUCUAUUGUAUUCCUAAUAGGUGGAUAUCAAUAGGCUUAUGUGACUAUGAAAAGGUUAUACGUGAUUUAACCGCACAAAGCCUCUAAUAUCUUUUUAGUCAAAUGACUUUGGAUGUGAUUCCUAGUCACCAAUAGUGUUUGACAGAAACCUUGUUAGCUUUUUUUUUUCUUUCUUUUUUUAAUCAAAAUCAUUGACUUUGUACAUCUCAUUAUAUUGAUAUUAAUGUAUUUCCAUGUCAACUAUCUAUUUUUGAAAUUCCUUAAUUUAUGGACUUCAAACUUUAUAAUAAACUAUUCCCUUAAAAGAGUAUAAAAGAAACAAUAAAUAGUAAAAUUUGAAACCAACAAAACAUUAAUCUACUAAUAAUCAAGCGAGUACCUUCUAAACACAUAAAAAAAAUGUUUACAUAUAAUUGGAUUCUCAUAGACACGAAUCCAAAACAAGAAUUGCAAAAUCAUACAUAUAUACAUAUAUAUAUAUAUAUAUGGGUACAUUUUGCAUAGAAAUGUAUCCAUGAGACUAAAAAAUGCAUUCAACUCAUAUAUCAUAUAUGGGUACAUUCUAAACUCAUAAAAAACAAUAAAUGCUGCUAAAUCCACCCCAUUAUCUUAUUUUUCUACUCACUUUUUAGUGGAAGUGUUAAUUACAUAUUUAUUCUUUUAUAAAAAGACUUUUAGAGCAUCUACAAAAGAUAUGUCAAAUAUAGUAUGUUAAAAUUUUAUUUGAUGGCUGAUGUGGCAAAUUGAAUACAAGUGUUAAAUCUUCUUAUUUUACAAUGGAUGUGUCAAAUAUUUAUUUUAUUAUUUUAUUGUGCCUAGAAUUACAUUAACUACUAAAAAAUAAUCAAAAUUAGUUUUAAUUUGUAUUAUAUUGGUUGUUAAUGAGAUUCAUGCAUUAAAAAAAAUAUUAAAUAUAUUUGACUCCUUCUUUAUUUGCUGUUAAAAAAGGCAGCUAGAAAGCAAAAAGUCAAAUGACUCACAUGUCAUAUCAUAUAUGAUAUAUCUAUUGAAGAACACUUGAAUAUCUUUUAAUCCUAUUUGACAUAUUUAACAUUUCUUUUGAAGAUGGUCUUAGACCCUUAUUUAUAAAUUCAUUAUAAUUUUUUUUUUUAAGAAAAGAGAACAAAAGGCCAAACAACCAAAGCCCACCAUACAUCCCGACUUACACAACCCCUCUCCUUACCGCCGCCGCCAAAACCCCCCAUUUUCCAGGCGCUAUCUCUCACCUGCACCAGUAUACCAUAUCCAGAUCUAAGAAAC